rnacentral:lncRNA from 1 species
ACGUGUUCCUACUAUAAAAGCGAUCGAUUCAAACUGCUGCUAUUUUCCUGAGCCCGUCAUACUCCCCGGUUCUCGAAAAAGUGCCACCACCUCCCUCAACCACCGCCCUCCGUAUCCCCCAUCUGCAAAUUUUUAGUUACUGGAUUGGGAUAGAGUCUGUUAAUCUAUGUCCCUAAAACAGUUGGAUCAAUCCCAAAUGCCGGUGUCUACGGCUGACCUGGCUCCAAAUGUUCCCCAAGAACUCAUUAUCGACGUACUCUUACGCCUCCCAGCAAAAUCCGUCGGCAAAUUCAGGAGCGUUUCGAAGUCAUGGCGUUCUCUUCUCUCCGACCCCGUAUUCAUCAAAGCCCACCUCGAUCUCCACCUCCAUCAUUCCCAAAAAUUUAUCCUCUCUUCUUCUCCUCCCACAGAAAAAUCAACUUUGUCCACCCUAUCUUUCAACCCCACUGGCAGCGCUGACAACGAUGGCGUUUCAAAAAAGCUCACGCUUCUAGAGAACAAAUUGACCGGCGCCACUAUUAUCGGUUCUUGCAAUGGGUUGGUCAUAGUUUCAAAAUUCAAGAGGAGGAGUCCCGAUACUAAGUACUAUUUGAUAAACCCCACAACCAUGGAGCUCGUGGGAAUACCCGCGAACCCUUUGGCUCCGUGGGCUCGUCGAGGUGGGAUUGCUCUCGGUUAUGAUAGAUCUAAUGAUGACUAUAAAAUCGUCAUGUUUUUUGGGAGUGACAAGGUUAACAACGAUGCUUAUCUCGAUGUUUUUAGUCUGAGGAGCGGAACUUGGAGGAGAAUCGAUGUUCUGUGUGAUCGUCCUGCUGAUGUUAAAGGGGUGUUUCUGAACGGUGCUGUACAUUGGUUGGGGGAGUGUGAUGGUUCACUGAUUAUGUCUUGCGAUUUGAGUUCUGAGGAAUUUAAGCCUCUGCCUGGGCCUUCUUCUCCUCCAGAAGAUUCUUUUUUCGAUCGUAUUGCAGUUUUUGGUGGAUGUCUAGCAGUGGUUGCCUUCACGGGUUAUUCUACUAAAGUUUCGAUGAUGAAUAGGGGUUUUUACAUGGAUGUUUGGAUGAUGAAGGAGUAUGGUGUUCAAGAAUCUUGGACCAAGUAUAGACCUAAUACGCACCCCAAUACGUGUCUUUCUUUACCUGUUUGCCUAUUGGGGGAUGAUGAUCUUGUUCUGCAUGUGCAUCAGAGUUUGCACAAACUUGUUGUGCACAGUCUGACAGGAGAAACUAAGAGGGACAUGUUGGUGACUGGCAUUGGAAAUGCGUUUAGGGAUGUAAAGGGCUUUUGCGAAAGUGUUGUAUUGCCUAUUUUCUACUGUCAGAAAUGGAACCAACAUAAACUUGGGGUUUGACGGUUGGAAAUCUAUGCGUGGUUAUAUCUAUGAUAAAAGCCUAUAUUGAAUUAUGUGUUAAUCUUAUUUAGAUAGUCAUUAAAUCUUAGUGGCUAGAUGGUUGCCCAUAUGGAUACCCAGUUUCCCUUUUGAAAAUGUUUCAGUAUUGAUUUUUUCAUACUUUUGUCGAAGUUACAAUGAUUUGACAAGUUUGUACUAGAUGUGUUGUGUAAUACUAGCUGAUUGUAUCAUACCAAAGCACCGGAGACCAACAUUUCACCCUGGAAUUCUACUCUUUCUCUUGCAAACAACUGGUUUUGGGGCUUUCCCGUCUAUAUGUUUUACAUUAUAAAGAAAACACCCUGCCUGCGUAAUUUCUACUCUUCAUCUGUCUAUCGUAACCAGCACUAUCCACAACUUCUCCCCACCCCUACGUCUGAUCCUGCCAGCAAGCCACUCUUGAAAUUUUGGCAUUCCUUUUGACUAUUUAUGGACAGGACCCUGCUACUGUGGAGUUUUCUCGUAUUUCUUUUGCUCACCCUUAUAAUGCUACGACUUACCACCUGUUUGGUUGCUGCUAAGGAGUGGCAAUGAGAAUCACUAUGAAAGGGACUUUUUGGAUGCCUGAACUACAUGAGAAUCACUAUGCGCACUCGUUCAGACUGAAACUUCGGAGCAUAUCAUAUAGGAAUAACCGGGCUCAAAACUAGUUUGGGGAAACGUUGCUUCACAUAGAACACGUCAAAGGGAUUUUCCUAUAUUAAGGAUGAGUAAAGGUUUCUUUAACUAAUACCUUUCAUGUCUAUACCCUGUGGAGUAGUAUUCAGCUUGCCAGGAAUAAUUUUAUCUUCAGAAGCCAGCAAUUUGAUUCCACGAACAUUCUGAGAAUCGCAAGGUGGUGAUACAACAAUUGUAACUCAUCACAUGCCUCAUUUUCAAAGUCGUGGUCGCGGUCACGGUCGCGGCCUGGAACGUUCCACAUCGGUCUCGGCAUAUCGGUCGCGGUCUCGGUGAGACGCAAAUUAUAAAGUAUUUAAUAUUUUAAAAAUUAUUAAUAAUAUAAAAAAAGUAUGCUAAACAAAAAUAAUAAAAAAUAACAAAAGAAAUGGCUGAGUCAAUCCGUCACGGUGUAACUCGGCCAAUUUCUCGUCUUGACUCGGGAUAACUCGGAGUGAUUCGGUGUGACUCGGCCGAGUCAAUCCGUCGCGGUGACGUCUCGGCCGAUUUCUCGGCGAGUCAAGUAUCUCGGUAUCGUUUCGUCACGGUAUCGUAUCGAUAGGGGCCGAGACGGUGACGACUCGGCCGAGUCGUCUCGGUCUCGGCCGAGACUUCGAACCAUGCAUUAUAUCUCACUUUCCCUGCACAUCAAAAUUUUCACUUGUGUCCUCUCAUGGGCCGGUUAACUUUAAAUGUUGAUGGUGCUUGUCUACCAAACCAGAUGGCUGGUAUUAGAAGAGCCCAAACAAGUUCGUGUGUUGAAGUCGAAAGAAUUGGAAAUGAAAUUGCGCUCCUUGAACGGGAUAACAUGUAGUUUCACUGGAUGGUGUACGAAGUGAGGUUGUUGGAUUCCUUUUGUAGCUAGUGUCAAGUAAGCAAAGCUGAGUGCUAACACUUGCUGCUUGGCAGACAAAGUGGUAACUAAAAAGACUUAGCAUGGAGAAACUGUUGCUGUUUCUUGUAUAGUAACUUUGAUCAUGAAUGUUCUCGAAUCCAUUGUCCUAAACUGUCCUGCUACUCGUAUUUCUGCAUGCUUUUUGGUCUCCCUCCAUUUUGUUUUCCUGGAAUUUUUUGCCGACUCUAGUUGCAGACAGGAUCUGUUUUAAUAGUUUGCCCUCUGCUGUGUCGUCUACGAGAUUUGUUAGAUAAAAGCUAAUGGUUUAAAUUAAGUGUUUUAGUGCCAUUACGAGAUUUGGUAGAUAAAAGCUACUGGUUUGAAUUAAGGCUUUUGGCAGUCUUUUGAAAUUCAUGUUGAACCGGCCGAUUCAAACGGUCGAACUACGAACGGAUCAGGACUCCAAUCUGAUUCAUACUUUGGAUUGAUUGAAUUUAAAAAUCGAUGAGAACCAUGUGAACCGUUCGAAUCAAAAUGAACUGUUGAACCAGUAUGUUUUUUUUGUUUUUUUCUAUUAAAUUGAAAAAAAAAAAAGAAUAGGUUCUUAUUAAUUCCAAAGACUAGUUACUAAGUGCCUCACUCACUCACUUUCUUCUCAUCUUUUACUUCUUAUCAAGUUUUCAUAUCUACUUUCUAGUUUCUUGACUUCAUCCAGAUUCCAAGUUUCUCUUUUUUUUUUUUAACAAAGUUGCAAUAUUUAAUUCCCAAAUACAUGGUUUAAAGUUUAAACUCACAAUAUCUAAUUCCUAAAUAUAUGAAUUUUGUUUAAUUUCAGAAUAUUGUAGUAUUUUUGGGUAGGAUUUAAAAUUAUAUUUUGAUAGGUACAAUUGAGAUUAAAUUUAUAUGUUUGUACUUACGAGAUUUGGUAAAUAAAAGCUACUGGUUUAUAUUAAGUCCUUUAGUGCCAUGUACCAUGCAAUUGUAUUCUGAAGGUGCAUACUUUGAACCAAGUUCAAUUUCAGCAAACAUUCCUUUUUCCUUAAUUGAAUAUGAUAAAAAUACUGCUAUAAAUAACAUGGAGCAAAAUGGCAAGAAGCGCUAUCAUUUUUGCGCAUUUUUUCUUUCUUCAACUUGAUUGCCCUGCUCUGCAUUGAGAUUCAGGGCUACACCUUAUGUUAGUGUAACACGAGAGGCUCUAGAUAUAUGAGAUAUCAUUCAUAUUCAAGUUUGGAAUCCUUUUUUUUUUUUUCAAAACAUGAGCUAUAUAUCUUGACUUGAAGUUGAAAAUAUUGUUUUAAAAACAAUAUUUGCAUACUUAUGAUCAAUUUUUUCAAUAAUUUAUCCAGUCAUCUGAUUAAAGGUAGAAAGAAGAUUUGAUUAGGCAUUUCAAUGAUCAUACAACAUAUAAUUUUUCUUCCUUUUCACAAAAUUCAGGGUCUCUCCACUUAAAUUAAUUACAUGCAUGAUAAAUAUUGGACAGAAAAAAUAUUAAUAUGCCACUUUAUUUUAUCCUAAAGAUAAAAAAAAUUAUUGUAUGGUAAAAAUCAUGUCUUGUAACUUGAACAUCCAAAAAUCUUAAGGUCUUUCCUUCUAAAUCAUGUAAAAGGGCAUGUAAAAGGGCAUUUUCAUCAACUCAACUAUUUUCACAAUUAACUUGAUGGGUUAGACUGAAAUGGAAGGUAAAGUGAGAAGAAAUAAACUUUAGAUGUAAGCUACAACAUUGACUAUAUUCUUAAAAAAAAAAAAAAAAGACUUUGACCAAAUUCUAAGGGGAGUUUUUGUGCUUAACCCUUCUUUUUAUAAUGUUCUUUUCAUUCCAGUAAUUCACAAAAAAAUAAAUAAAAAUUUCUUUAUAAGCAAAAUUAUGCUUGGCUUUUUCGUGAAGUAUAUACAUUUCCUUCAAGGCAAUGCAUGUUAUGUAAUCACGAAGAAUUCAGAGGAAGUGCCAAACCAGUAUACAUUUCCUUCAAGGCAGUACAUGUUAUGUAAUCACAAAAAAUUAUUAUAAAUGCCUUUCAUAAUAAAUAGACUGCACUUGUUGAAAUUUUCAGAAAUUUUCCCUUCAGUAGUUUUUUUCCCCUUGAACAUUUAUCCCAAAUAACUUUCGUUGAACAGCUUGUUAUUUGCUUUUCGCAUGUUUAAGGUUGUGUUUAGAUUGCAUUUUCCAUGAUUUUUCAUGAAAAAAUUACUGUAGCGAUUUGAUGUAUGUGAGGGAAAAAGGUAAUAGGGAAAUGUGAUCACGAAAAACGACGUAAAUUUGUUUUCUUUCUUUUACUUCUUGUGUAUGGUGAGUAGAUAUAGAAAGCAAUCAAUCCUCAAUUUCAGAUGGACCAACACUUUUUAUAUGGGAUGAAUUCCUUGAUUUAUUUGUUACAUUCGUUCUUUUCUUCUCUUUUAGUACCGGAACAGAGGCUUUUGUUUCCUUAUUCCCCUUUUCUGUUUGGACAGAAUGGGAAAAAUUAUUAUCAAUCAAGAGUUUAAAAAUUUCCAAAUCCCAAGGGUUUACUAUCAGGAAUGUAAAUUGAUAGAGACACAGAUCCUUUAAGACAUAGGUGUAAAACAUAAAUAACAAAAAAACUUUGCACGUUCAUGUACAUAACUUUUUGGUCGUAUAUGUAAUUGGCCCGUCUUAUAUCCCUAUACCAAUUAGAUAUGGAAAAACAUCACAGAACUCCCACCAUUUUAACAAGUCAAUCAAAAACUUCUAUACACAACUUUUCCUUUUUUUUUUUUGGGUUUUUGUGUCAAUUUUUUCUUUGCUAAAAAGAAAAUCCUAAAAUUAGUAGUAUCAAAUUUAAUUGGCCCCACGGUUGAUCAUUUCCAUGUACUGGUUCAACGACUCCUGCCUCUGCAGCCUCAUUUCUUCAUUGAAUUUCUUGAUGAAUGCUUCGACUCGGCGGUUCAACUCGUCCUGACCCGGCGAGUCAAAUAUUCUGAGGUUAGGGACACUGGACACCAGGUCCGCAUCAAGCCCACUGAUGAAAUAUUCUGGCAUGUCCACAAGCUCAAGCGUAUCAAGAGUAGAUAUGUGCUUCAGCUCUUCCGGCAACUUCCGUAAUCUGUUGCAGUUCCUGAUUCUCAGGCACUGGAGCUGUGGCAAUGCACCUUCCCCCACCUUUAUUUCCUCCAAAUCAUGUAGGCGGCUGAGCUCAAGGAAUUUCAAUUGCUGAAACCCAUGCCUAGAAAUGACCAUAUGCCGUGUUCCCCCAUAUGUAGAUUCCAGUUUGAGGAACGACAGCUGUCCCAACUUCUCUAGCACUGGCAUUGGGUCAUCCGUGAGAUACGUGGAACUCAAAGACAAGCGAGAGAGAUUUGGAGGGAAAUCAGGAGACAGCAAAUCCAGCCUGGAUAGCUUAAGAUCUGUUACAUGAUGGAGCUUAGAAAGUCCAGCUAGAGAUUGUGGCAACACGCUUUCUAUAGUACGGUAAAGACUUAGCGUCUUUAGGCUUCCAACCUCAGAUAAAUGCAUGCAGAGUUUGUCUAUCUCUGACCUGCCAUCCACUACAAUCCCCAGUUUCUGAAGACUUGUCAAAGUUAUCAUGUCAUUGUGCAUAACGUCCUCAAAGCGUAUGCCUGACAGAGUCUGGAGAUUCCUCAAUCCUUCAAUCUUAAGAGGCACAUCACAUUCCAAUUUAUACGCAUAUAGAUGCCGUAAACUUUCAAGCUUCCAAAUGAAAUUUGAAACUUUCACUGUCCUAUCAAAGCCCCGUAUGUCAAGAGUUUGUAGGUAUCGCAAGCAACCGACGGAAUGAGGGAGCCUUCUAAUGUGUGUGUCUCUUAAAUUGAGGUACCUUAGAAGCCUGACUUCACCAAUUCCUUUUGGCAAAUUAUAACCCAUCCCAGCAUUCUCAAGGUCUAGUAUCCUGAGCUUUUUGAAACUUUUGAAGCUAAGACUAAAGUUUUUCCCGAAACUGCGGAUAUUGAAAACAAGUAGAGACCGGAGAGGAGGGGUCGAAGACCCAAAAUAAUUUUCAUCCAGAGGGAGACUAUGAACAGCAAGGUACCUGGAUUUGGCUGAUAUUUGAUCAUCUCUAGUGCCAUGGAUCUGAAAAAAAAUUUCAUCCUCUGCCUUUCUGAUUGCAAGCUCUCGCAGUAAAUCAUGGACUCUGCAGCUUUUAAUCCUCUUAUCAACCGUCAUUUCCGCCACUUGGACAAUAUUUCUGCUACAAAGUCGCUCCACAUCUUCAUAUGCUGCAGUUUCCUCCAGAUUUUUUGCAUCUCUUUUCUGCAUUAUUCCCUCAGCAACCCACAGAUGGAUCAACUUGCGCACAGAAAUCACGGAGUCUUCGGGAAACAAACCCAAAUACAAAAAGCGAAAUUUCAGAUUGGCAGGGAGGUCUGCAUAACUUAAUUCCAGAAUUGCCCUUGCUUCACUAAUUUUCCCUGCUUCGCUCCGGCUCCAUGAUAGGUGUGCGCUAAAGUUGUUGAGAACUUCCUCCCAUUCGGUCUUCGACUUAUUCUUGCCUAGUAGCAAGCCACCUAUAACCGUUAUGGCCAGUGGUAGACCGGCACAUCGCCCCACAAUUUUCCUGCCUACUUCUUCCAAAUCUGGAGGACACCCAGCAUUAGCUCCGUGGCCUAAGGCCUUUUUGAGGAACAAAUGCCAGCUAUCCUCUUCCCCCAAAGUUUUCAGCUCAUGUGGUUUGCUAAGAGCAUCUGCGUGUACGGCAACUUCCUGAUUGCGAGUUGUAAGCAGCAAUCUACUUGAUGUGCCAACAUCGGGAAAGGCCCUCCUGGAUAGACAAUCCCACGCUACUUCCUUCCAUACAUCAUCAAGUACCACAAGACAACAUUUGUUUUGUAGAUCUUGAUAGAGCCUUCCUUCCAACUCUUCCUCUUCCAUCUUUUCCAACAUUUCAGAUAGCUUGUCAUCCUUUGGAUUUAAUUGCUUUAUGAUUGAUCUCAGUAUCUUUUUGUGAUCAUAGCUUGAAGAGACGCAUACCCAAGCACGACAGUUGAAUCUCUCCCUGACAUCAGCAUGGUUAUAGACCUUUUUGGCUAGAGUUGUCUUACCAGCACCUCCCAUGCCGACGAUUGAAACCACACGGCUGCUUUUGUCCUCUUUCAAAAGUUCUGCCACCAGCGAUUUUGUUUUCUCCUCGAAGCCCACUAUAUCCCUGUCCUCGUUGAAAGGAGAGGACCGUCGGAGCCGUCGAAGCUCUUCUCCAUGUGUACUCGUUCCCUCUCCAAGAUUUUUGAUAUCGUAUUUUUCACGGCUAUCAGCUAUGUCAUUGAUCCUCAUCUGUAAGGACUCAAUCUCUUUACCAAUCUUGAAGAGGUUCACAAUUUUCAAGGGAUAAUACGUCAAUUUGGUGACGAGUCCCUUGUUCUUUGUGAAGAACUCAACUUUGCUGGCAAAGAUCUCAAUGAUAUCCUCCGCAUCGUACGCCGCAGCUCUGAUUUCAGAAACCCAGUUGCGGAUCCUCUCAUCUUCAUCUUGCCUCUGAUCUGCAUCUUUCAGGAAACACCGCAUCCGGACCAGAUCAUUUUGGAGUCUUUCAACUUGUUGUCGAACAUCUUUCAGGAAAACAAUUUUUUGAAUCAGCAGAUCGCCAGUUCUCUCAAUUACAAAAGAGAUAACAGGGUCAGCCAUAUUGGUUAAGCCGGAAGCGAGCUUUGCUUUCAACAAGCUGUUGUUUUAACUGAUCUCAGAAGAGAGGUAGGAUUCUCGUGGUUCAUUUUCUCUUCCAGUUUUAUCCUUAAUUCUUCAUUGACUUGUCCAAGAGCAAUUAUUUUAGUAAAAAACAAAGCAGUUCGAUUCACAUGGUGGAAUGGAAGGCGGAAUUGUUUUGAUACGCGGAUUUGAUAAGCAGUUUCCACUUACAGGUCCGCGGUUUUGCAUACUAUAGUAAAGUCUUGGUAGGCCAUAACCGGCCAAGACACUUUUAUAGGUGGAAAAAGAACAAAAUAGUACGUCUCUUCCCAAGUCAAUUUUCCGUCAUUUACCUCUGCUUUCUCUUUUUGGAGCAGAAUGGAAAACUGACCUCAUUAAUACCCCACACUAAUAUUGGCGAAAUAUAUGGCUUGUAGUUGUCGCGCCCCACUUUGUCUGAGUUUUGGAAAAACUUGAGACAAAGAAGUAGACACCAAAUACUUACCUGUGUUAUUGGGCUGCAAAAGAUUCCAACGAACAGAAAUUCUAAUACGGGACUGACCCGAACAGAAAUUUAAAAUUGGGAUAGACCCACGGGAUAGACCCGGACAGAAAUGUAAAAUUGGACGAAUUGAAGUGAGAUAGAGUGUUGGUGGGAUGGAAACACGCACAUUAGUGAGAUAGGCUCGAUGCUAAUGGCGGUAGGAUGAAAACGCGCACGUUAGUGAGAUAGACUCGAUGCUAACGGCGGUAUAAUGAAACACGCACGUUAGUGAGAUAGACUCGAUGCUAACGGCGGUAGGAUGAAAACACGCACAUUAGUGAGAUAGACUCGAUGCUAACGGCGGUAGAAUGAAAACACGCACGUUAGUGAGAUAGACUCGAUGCUAACGGCGGUUGAAGUAAAACACGCACAUUAGUGAGAUAGACUCGAUGCUAACGGCGGUUGAAUAAAACACGCACGUUAGUGAGAUAGACUCGAUGCUAACGGUUGCGGUAACGGCGGUAGAAUGAAAACACGCACGUUAGUGAGAUAGACUCGAUGCUAACGGCGGUUGAAGUAAACACGCACAUUAGUGAGAUAGACUCGAUGCUAACGGCGGUUGAAAUGAAAACACGCACGUUAGUGAGAUAGACUCGAUACUAACGGCGGUUGAAGUAAACACGCACAUUAGUGAGAUAGACUCGAUGCUAACGGCGGUUGAAAUGAAAACACGCACGUUAGUGAGAUAGACUCGAUGCUAACGGCGGUAGAAUCAAAUAUAGUUGUCAAGAGUAGGGAAUGGAAGGGUGCGCGGCGGGCAUUGAAGCUUCGCCCACAAGAAAUCAAUUUUGAUUUUUUUCAAGAAACAAGAAUUUGAACUUGAUGUUUGACUUUUUGAAUUUUUCUGAUUUUUCGAGAGAAUCUUUUUCCAAAAAUAAUUUGCCCCAGUGUAUGGCCCUUUUCCCUUCUUUCUUCUCUUUCUUCGGCAUCGGCCUUCUACAUCGCCAGAUGCUUUUCGUCGACUUCAACUAUGAAUACCUGCACAGGGCUUACGUGCACUCAAAUGAGCGUGACUGAUUUGAAAAAUGCAUUAUUUUGAUUCUUGGACGAAAUCCUCAAUUGGACUACAAAAAUAUUUGCCCCUGUGUGGGCUUAUUUUGCAAAAUUUUGCAAAUAAAAAUUUUGCCCCAGUUUGGGCCCAUUUGAUUGCAAAAAUUGGUUUAGAUGAUUUCCCAUUUACUUGAACAAAGAAAAACCGCACUUUCUAAAAUUUAGAAAAGAGUGCACAUACAACAAUGUGAAGAAACUUUAAUCGUCAAGUUUGAACUCAUGCAGAAAUUUCAUGAUGAAUUCCUCGAAAUAACACCAAAUUUAAGAAGAAGAUUUCUUCCUUACUUUUAGCAUUGGUGCUUAGGGUAACGGGUCACCACUUCUGGUUGACUCAUCUUUUCAGGACCAAUCAAGUGACUUUAUUUUUGAAAUGGCUAAGGAAAUGGGAGAUAAGAAUCUGUCUCAUUUUUGUGCCCCAGUUGUAUGUAAUCCAUUCAAUGUCACAUCUUAGUGAAAGCAAAGAGUUUGUUACCCUUAUUUUCAAGAAAACUUAGUCAACAUACAAGCUUUCUAGGCUUGUAACGUAUGGACAGAAGUGAUAGCUAAACAUGUGGAAACGGGUUAUGCCCCUAUGAUCACAAAUGAUUUGAUGAAUUUCUUAUGAGCAUGAUCCUCACUUUGGAUUGUCAUGAAAGAAUAAGUCAACGAUGGACUUUAUUAGCUUGUAAUUUGGCUUGAAAACGAUACUAAAGAAGCAAUUUUCAAAGGACAUUGCACUGAAGAUCGCAUUUUUCAACAUUGCCCCUAUUUUGAAAUCAAAAGAUCUCAGACUUUGUUUGCAUUUUUCUUAUCACUCACCAGAGACUUCAGCGUCGAAUUUUCUGCAUUUUCUUGCAUUUACUUUUCUUGCUUUGCUUUUUGCCUCUUUUCCAAAAAGACCCUCGCGGGAUUUCACAUGGUGAGUAGCGUCAACCUCAUACUCAAGCAAUUCAGAAAUACAGCUAAAAUUUUCCGGCAUCAGAAAUUUUCUUGACAGGGCCAUUGCAAAGAACAGGAGUCAGGACUUUCGGCUUUGUAAUGGGGUCAGGUGGGGUGCUUUAGAAAAGUUAAGGCUUGAAAACGGAUUUCAAAACUGGUUUGAAAAAUCUGAGAUCGCAUUGUUGCGUCAACCCUAUUUUAGGGUUAAAUCAGAAUUUGCCCCAGUUUAUGCUCAACUGAGGCUUUUCACUUUCAUUUCCUUUUUCCUUUUGACUUUUCGGCCUUUUGCCAUUCUUUUGAACUUUCACAAAAUUUGCCCCAGUUUAUUUUGAACUGAGGUUCUCUUUUCUUCUUUUGUUUUUGAUCUUGUUGCUUUUCACUUUUUUGAAAUUUUCUUUUCAACUCAAACUCGCCCCCAGUGUGGGGUUUGCGAUUCUCAGGGGUUGCCAAACGAAAUAAUUUAUUCUGAUGGCUCAAAAGGGAUAACUAGGGAUAAAGUGUUCGAUUGGAAAAGAAGAUAGCCUGACUUGUAUUCUGUUCCUUACAACAACUCUGAAAGGAAACUUUCGUUAAUGCGAAAUUUUUGCGUGUAUCUGAAUUAAUUGACUGAGGAAGACCCUUACUCAUCCAUAUUUGUGAAACAUAGGCGAUUCACAUGGACAAAAACCCUUCCUUUUCUUUUUUCAAACUUGGAACCCAAGUGGAAUCAAAUUUCCCCAAUUUGCAGUUCCCUCCUUAUUCUAGCAUUUUUGCUUUUUCCCUUUUUCCCUUUUUCCUUUUUUGUUUUUUUUUUUUUGAAAAUUCUCCAAUCUCCCUCCCCAAUGUGGGGUACGACCAUGAGUGCAUUAGAAAAGAACCACCAAUUUUAGCUCAAAAUGGGGAUGCAAGGGGUGAUCAGUGUUUAGGUUGUAGAAACGACGGCCAAAGCAUCAUUCUUACACCUCAUGACAACCAAAGUAACGAAACGGUUAUUGAAAAUCCAUUCCCCUAUUUGAUAUUUGAAAAUUUUCCAAUAUAGGGUAGUGAUCAUUAGGGCUCUUAUCUGAAACGAAAUUAUUCUUUUCAUAGGCUCAAAUGGGAGAGCAAGUGAUAAAAAUCUGUAUAGAUAGUGAAACAAAUGCUCAAAGUAAAUUUUCAAAACAAACAAGAAUAAUGCACAUUUUUGCUUUCACUUAGAUGUGAAUUGAAUCGAUUAAACACAAUGGAUAUUUUCAAGCAAAGAUGGCCCCAAUUUGCAAUUUAUCAAUCAAUGUGACUGAUUUUAUUUUGGGGUUCAGUGAAGGAGAAAAGAUAUCUCAUUGGGCCUUCUGAAUGACCUCUUUUAAUUCUGAACACUCUUAUUGUGAAUUUUCAGGUCGGAGGUUGAAAAAAUCCCAAUUUAGUCUUAUUUCUUAAAAUUCAUCAUGCAAUCUCCAAUGAAUAAGAAUAAAGAAUGAAAUGUACAUAAAUAUACACAAAACAAUGAUUGUCCAAAAAAUUUAUUGCUGAAAAAGUUUGAAACAAAAUUUCUCAUUCAAUUACGAUACAAAUGAGAAGAGAGAAAAUUGUAAAGAGCUCCACAUAUACACUUUUUGUCUCCUUUUUCAAAUAUACAAAAUUUUCCUUUGGAAAACAAUUACAACAUUUCUCAGAGGGUUUUCAUCGUAGGACCCGCCCAAGAAUCAAAUAACACUUGUAAUCUUCAAACUUCAUUGGAUUAAAAUUAUCAUCAGAUAUAGAAGAAUAUUUCCGUCUUAUUGAAAUAUUUUUAUGAAUGCAAGGGAGGGGGGAAACAAAAGAAAAAUACCCCGAGUUAGUAGACAAAACUGCAAAAUCGGUAUGCAUGUCCUAUGGGGGGAACCCUUUUUAUGCCAAAGGUAGGCCUAGCAUGAAAAUGCAAUCCUCUAAGGUAGGCACCAUACCAUACCUGAUGGAUCUGAUCAACUCAUUGAGUGAGAAAUAAUUUUGACAAAUUUGGUCAAUUAGAGUGAGAAGAGACGUUUGUCAAAAUGAGGACAUCGUCCAAAGGGAUUGAUCACUUUUGAUCGAUACAAGAAUUUGCAAAAACGCACAGGUUUGACCUUGACGAACUUCCUAUCGAAGAGAUUGGAAUUCGUUGACCAAAUUUUUUCAGUGAAGCACGGGUCAAAACCCCAACUGAUCAAAUGGCUGGAUGCAAUAGAUGGUUUUCUCAAAAAUCGACUAAGUUUCCCAACUUGAAAUUGACAUUGAAACCCUAAUUGGUCAGAUGAAAUUGACAAUUUAUUAAAAAUCGACCGGAUUACCCUAAAAAGGGAAACAGGUCAAAUGAAUUGAAUGAAAUUUAAUUUAUCAAAUCACCCUAAAAAAGGGUAAAUUGAUCAAAAUAGAUUGAACGAAACUUGAUUUAUUCAAAAUCGGCUCGGCUGCCCUAAAAAUGGGUAAAAUGGCCAAAUGAAUGAAAUUGGAUUAGUGAUUUAUUCAAAAAUCGGCCGAAUGACCCUAAAAAGGGUAAAUCGGUCAAAUGAUUUGAUGAUUUAUUCAAAAAUCGACCGGAUGACCCAAAAAAGGGUAAAUCGGUCAAAUGAAUGAAAUUGAAUGAAUUGACAAAAUGGAUUGGUUGAAUUGUCCGGCCAUUGGUUAUUUCAAAAUUAUUGAGGUGCAUUAGUCUAUGACCUUCUAAAAAUCAAAUUUUGGCCUCAAUUUAUUUAUCGUCUCAAUAGGAGGAAUCACUUGUGAAUUUCUUCAAAUUAAUGUCCUUCACGCAAGGGAAUUUUACCAAUUAGGUUUAAAAAUGGUCCAAAAAGUGAUUAUCAGACGCUCAUAUUCCAAAAGAUCACUCUAUGAACAUGAUCGGAUCCUACCUUACCUUGUGCACUACCCCUUUGGAUGGUACGAGAAAGGUAAACGUGCAAGUCUCAUUUGGAUUAUAUAUCCGAGACAUGGGGUGGUUUAUUCCUAACACGGGAUCCCCUAAAUGGCAUUCCCUUUCUAGGGUUUAUGCAUGAUGCCAUUUAUUAAAGCAAUGUAAAUAUGCAACAAAUAUGGCCUAGAGGACAAAAUAAUGCAACGGGGGGAAAGGGUCUAAACAUGAAAUGUAUUUACUGAAAGAUAAGUGCAAAGACUGAAAUUUAGACAUGUGAGCUAUCUAAUGGGUGAGUCACUAAAAGAGUGCCAAAGAGGCCCCUUAUUGCUAAGGCACAUGUAUGCAAGCCAAGAAAACAAAAGAAUGGUUAGUGCAAUUGAUAGUACACAUAACACAUUGGGAGCAAUUAAGAAGAAGAAAUACAAUAAAGCAAGUAAAAGGGGUAGAACCCCUUCCCUCGUGCCUAUUGUGCUUAAAAUAGGGUGAGGCCGACUCUACCUUAGGUCAUUCUAAUAUGGAUGCAUGAGGCUGGGGUUCACUAAUGCCUAGACUCGAUAAAGCUUCGGCUCCCAAGCCUUCAGACCUAAAGGCGAAGGGUCAUCACUCCCAGGGCCUUUGGUCGGUGGCUCGAGUGAUCCCUUAGGUAGCGCUAUGGGCGCAGAGCACACCAUCCGCCUACCCAAGGCAAUCGGUCCUAGUCCUACAAGGCGGUGUGGGAUGGCGCCCACGAAAAAUAAAAUAAAAUGGGAUAAAGCAAGUAAACGUGCACGUAUGAAGUGCUCCCCUAUUUUGAGGGAAGGGGUGAGAACCACGCGAGGCUCUAAAGGUGACACACCCCCCCAAAUGCAAUGCAAGCGCGAGAUAAACAAGUAAACAUCAUCCAAUCAACCAAUCACACAUACGUGAGUGAGGGAAAAGUGUGAUACGCGCGCGAGGUGAAAAAGUCCUAUAUAAAAAUGCAACCCUAAUAUCCAAAUGCAAUGCAUAAAAAGGGUAGAAAAAGGAAACGAAUGGCUAAAUCAAAUGCUCGGACCCACUUAGGAAGUCCCCAGUGGAGUCGCCAACUGUCGCGCCCCACUUUUCGAUUGAUGUGAAUGUGAGUGAUGAAGUGUGGUGUGAAUGUGUGCAAAAUGAAAAGUAAAAAGGCCAUGGGACUUUGGAAAGCGACGAUUUGGCCAAAUGAAAUUUUAAAAAGGGUUUUUAAAUAUGAAAACGGAGUCGCCACUUGGUAUAGAUUUGGGGUGUACCAAGUCACCCAAAAAGUGUUUUUUAAAGACAAAGUAGUAAAACCCUUUUUAAAACGACUCCUAGUCCACGUAAGCCAAAGAAAAAGGUUCGGGGGUCACGUUUGACAAAGGGGAAGGCAAGGAUAGAAUCCAAGGCACCCCUUUGACCUAGCCAAGGCUAGUUGCGCGACUUAACCUUACCUUUCCUAAUUUUCUACCCAAUAUAUGUUCGCACGUUGGAUAUGACUAUAUGAAUGCAAAAACCUAGACCUAGGGGGAUCGGGGGAAAUUUCUCUUCAAAGGUUGAGUGGUGCCAAUCACAUUAAUUGUGAAGCCCAAUAAUGAUCCUUUUGGAGAGGUCACACCUAAACCUAAAUGACGUGAAAAAUGAGUGGAGUGCAUGCCAUGUGAAAGUGUGAGUUUGUGUGAAGUGAGAAAAAUGAUAAAAGUAAUAAGACAAGAGUGAAGGUGUGCAAAUGUAGAUGAAAGUACUCGUGUGCGAGUGAAGAUAAAAUGCUCGUGUGCAAGUGAAGAUAAAAGGGUGUUCGUGUGCAAGUGAAGGUGAUAAAAAGGUGCAUGUGUGCAAAUGAGACAAAAGUGAAAGUGUAAUGAUAGAGUGGAUUGAGAAUGCAUGAGCCUAGGGAAUUCAUGCAUAUUGGGUACGGGGAGACCUAAAUCGUGACUUGAUUUUCCCUUUGAUUAGAAGGCGAAACUAGCGUGCUAAGGCUAUCGAGUAGCCACACUCGCUCGUUUCCCUUAUCGGAAGGGGACACUCAAGCGAAAUGAACCCUAUAGCUAUCAUGAUAUGCAAAAGUCCUAAAAUGAAGGGAAAGGGGGUUCGAGGAGCAUGCCAAGUGAUAAAACUAAGAAAAAUGCAUGAUAUGUGGUGAACAAGCAAAUGAUAUGCUAAUGAGGGGAAAUCCCUAAGGGUCUAGCGUUGGACUAGCCCAUUCUAUGAAUUCCGACUAGCGUUGGACUAGCGGAAACGUACAUUCAUCCAUUCCAUUCAUUCAUGGCUAUGAAAGCAAGUAGACAUGCCAAAACACUCGUAAACACGUAACAUGUAACACUUAGCAUGCUCGACUAGAUGCAAGAUCCUAAUAAAGCAAUUAAACAUGUAGCAACAAAAACAAGCAACCAAGGGGAAGGGGAAAUGGACCAGAUGCUCUCCGAGCGCUAUCUAUUACAAGCCAAGAGGUGUACACAUACCCCAUAAAAGCAUAAAGGGGAAAGGGAAAUGGACCAGAUGCUCUUCGAGCCCUAUCUAUUACAAGCCAAGAGGUGUACACAUACCCCAUAAAAGCAUAAAGGGGAAAGGGAAAUGGACCAGAUGCUCUUCGAGCCCUAUCUAUUACAAGCCAAGAGGUGUACACAUACCCCAUAAAAACUUAAAUAAAAGUAAAAAGCAAGUAAAUGCACGCAGGGAGGUAAGGAAAGCGAAGUAGACAGGCAUAUUCACAUAACACAUAGGAGCACGUAGGAAAAAUAAAGUGCGAGUGAGGGAUAGAGUGUACCUCCCUUGCAAUCGGGGCCCAAUGAAGUGAAAUCACUUAUUUAUCCUCCAAAAUAAAAGAAAUGGUCAAGGUACCAAUUUAUUUAGGAAAAUUAAAGGAAAUAGGCAAACACAAGCUCACUUGGUCAUAAAGCCCCUAAAAUCAUGAAUUAAGUGCAAUUGAAACAAAGCAUAGUGAUUAAUUAAAACAAACAAGCAAUGAAAUUGUAAAAUUAGAAUUGCCAAGGACCAAAUUGAUGAAGUUAUUCAAUUGGUUGGGUCAUAGUGGCAUAGGGGAAAACUUGAGGGAUCAAGGUGCUAAAUCUGACAAUUAUUUUUCAUGCAAUCCCAUGCAAACCUACGAAACUCAUGUUCUGCAAUUUUCCAGCAAUCAUUCUUUCAGCAAUCUUUCAUUUAGCCUAGAUGCAUUUGUACAAAGCAAACCACCGAAUUCAAUGACUCAACUUGAAUGCAACAACUUAGAGGAAGGUUAUGCACAAUCUGGAAAAACUUUCAUGCAAGGCCCAUGAGGAAACUAAGAUUUUCUGCAAGUUGCUAGUCGAUGUUGCUGCUGCAACUUUUCGGCCAAACAAUUUUGCUGCAACUCAUUCGGGAGUCUUUGCAACUCCAAGGAAUUUUCGGCAAAAACAAGAUUCAUGCAGAGCUUUCAACCAUUUCCAACUAAACAUAGCUAAAACAAAGAGUUUCUUGGAAGAUUUUUCAUGCAAAGUGUACAACUUAGGAAGAAAAAAUGAGCUUUCUGCAAUCUGGAAAAAAAAAACAAAAGGAAACCUGCUGCAGCUCUAUGUUUACAAAUGCCUAUUUCUUAAUCCCAACUUGGGUUACACAUUUUCAAAACCAAACCUGCAACUUCAGGCUAAGCAAAACAUAUAAUCACCACCAUCAAAACAAACUGAAGACUUAGGAAAUGAUCAUGCAAAAAAUUCUGGAAAAUAUACAAGAAAAAUUCGGCAAUUCGGUCAUUCAUUUUUCCAGCAAAGGAUUGGAACAUGCUUCGAAUAUUUCAGCCCCCAAAAAAUGCAAACUCAACACCUCUUUCCAACAUAAGAUCAACCAGCAAAUUGGAUGGCUCAAGCAAUCUUCAUAUAAAGCUUGUAAAGCAAUUCUGCAACAAUAAGACAUUUUCAGCAGCCUGCCGAAACUUUGGAAAUUUCAGCAACCGAAAGUGCAGGCCUGCUGCAUUUUUUUACUUCCAAACUCGGACUUCACAUUCCAAAUACACAAAGUUUGAUCAAGACCUUUUAAACUAAGCAUCACAUAAAUCCAUGUAUGGUCAUUCAAACUCCAAGGAUUCCCACGGAAAGAACUUCGUCCAAGAAAAAUAAGAAAGAAAAAGUGCAGCCGAGGAGCUUUAUCAUCUACUUGCACUGGCCAAUUAAAGUAUUCAUCACAGAACAUUUCACUCUUCAAACAAACACUGAAAUCACCAUUCAUCACUGAUCAAACCUGGUUUGUCUAACCUUAGCAGACUCGGCAGAAAGCAUCCGGGUGAAGAAAACAAAAAUGACAAAAACUAAGGAUGGCAAUCUUGAAACUUUGCAAUUCUGGAAAAAAAUACUUUGCAACUGAGACAUCAUUCAAACCAUUUCCAAUCUUUGUGAGCUUACCAUCGAAACCCAGUUUUCAAAACAUAGAACACAAACGAGAACUAAAACAAAGAGAGAAGAAAAGAAUAAAUUUGUAACUCCAGGUUCAUUCACAGGUUUCUGGGUUCUUUUCAUCACAACAUCUCUGGUUCAUAGUCUAAGCAAAAACCCUGGCCCUAAAUCUAUUCAUGCUGAAAAAUCAAAGUUGAAAACUUUUCUGCAAUUUAUCGCUAAUGCCUGCCAUUUCCGUAGCAUAUCAUCCUCACAAAACGAAUCCCAACAAAACAAAACCCUAUAUUCAUGUAUCAAUAAGACACAAAUGAAAGUGAACCAGACUUAAAAAAUCAUGACUAAAAGAAACCGUAAACAGAAACGGUGGACUUGAAAGAAACACAAAGAACUGAAAUGGUAAAUCGAUGACCGAAAGGAAAAGAGAGAGGACCUGAUCCAGAAAAGCUUGAGGUUCUCAGUGACUUUCUUCCUCUCGGCUUCCUCUCUUGUACGAAGCUUGAUUGAAAAAAAAUGGAGUCUUUAUUCUCCUUCUCGCCGUCAAGCUCAGUUUCUUUACCUCAGCCCCAGCUCCCUCCUUUCUACUGUGUUUUUUCUUUUGCUUUCAGUUUUUCCCGGACCUUCCCUUCCUCUCAAAACUCUCUCUAGUUUUAGCCGUCAACUUCCUCUCCAAACUCUCUCGCUCCAGUAUUUUCCUUUCCAGAUUGCGGCCGUCAUUUUUGCUCUCCAACCCUCCACUCUUGCCUGGUGUUUUCCUUUUGCUCUCGGCUGUCCUCUCUAAUUCCGUCCAGCUCUCGGUUUCUUUUGCUCAGCCUCUCAGUCCUUAACCCCUGAAAACUCCCUGGUUUCCCUUUCUUCAAAGCUCUAACCUUUUGCACAGCUCUCUGUUGUUUCUCCUCCUCUUGCUCUCGGCUCUCCCUUUCAGUUGUUUUCAGUUCUUCCUCCAACCCCAACCGUAUGCUCCCUCUGUUUCGUCUAGCCUCUUUGUUCAGCUUUUCUUUCCGCCAUCCCCCCUCCUCCUUUUUGCGGCUGUCUUGCCUUUUCCAUUUAUACCAGCAUCUCCAACCCUAAACACUCCCAGCCAUCUUCUGUAUUUGCAGCCCAAGGAGCCGUCCCAAACUUUCCUUGCAAGCUGCUACAAAUGCAGCUUGCCGCGGCUAUCAUUUUUUUUUUUUUUUUUUUUGUUUUUAAAAUGAUUAAAACAAUAUUGAUAAAAAAUAUAAAUGUAAAUAAUAAUAAUAACAAAAAUACCAGAAUUGAACACAAUUUAAAAUAACUAAAUAAAGUGGCCAUUUUCAAUUUUUUCACAUUUUUCUUUUUCCUUUUCCAUUGUUUUUUCUUUUCUUUUCCCUAAAUAAACCAAACAAAAAUAAAAGAUAAAUUAAGUAGAAAUGACUAAAAUAGAUAAACAAAACAAAGUUACUAUUUUUCCCUUUUCCUUUUUCCCUUUUUCAUUCAUUUUUCCUUUUUUCCAUUUUUCCAUGAUUUUCCACGCUAAAACUCAAAAAACAAAAACUAAAAGACUAAAAGGUAAAUAAAACUAAAAAUAAAAAUAAAAUAAAAUAACAUCUAAAGGGGCAAAACAAAAAUGCAAACCAUUUAAAACAAAAAUCAUGAGAUAAACAAAAAUCAAUAGACAAGACUUAUCACUAAAACGAAGCAUAUAAAUCAAUUCAAAAUUUGGUGUCUACAGUAGUGUCUUAGUGACAAUAAUGUAAUAUCUCACAAAAUCCCUUUGCAGUACAUUGGCAUAAAAUAUGCCACGUAACCACGACACCUCAACAUACACAAUUAACUAUAUAUUAGCACGGAUAAUAAAUCCCUUACCUUUUGGCCAAAAAUAUUUUUUUAUUUCUAACUUUUAAAAUGCGGCAAAUUAGUUUCUCACAUUUUAAAAACGAAGCAAAUUAAUCCCAGAUUGACAAUUUAAUAUAGAUUUUAGAUAUAAAAUUGGAAGGUCACUACAAAAAGACAUUAAGUCACUGUAAAAAGGAAAAAAAUUAAAAAUUAUAACAUACUACCCGGAAAAAGUUAAAAUUUUUUGAGACAAUCACAUUGGUCAACAUAAAAAGGAAAAAACCCCCUAAGUUACAAAAUUUUAUAAUUCAAAAAUUGUUUAAACUUUUUUGAGUGAAGGGUUUGUUUUUGAUGUUAUAACUUUUAAAUUUUUCUUCUUUUUUAGAGAGAAUGGUUUGGUUUUGAUGUUGUAUUAAUUUUUUCUUUUGAUGUUAAUUUAAUAUCACUUUUUGAAAAAAAAAAUUAUUUUUUAAGAGAGAAGGUUUUUUUAUGUUGUAAUUUUAAACUUUUUCCUUUUUCUAUUGACUUAAUAUCGUAUACAUAUCAUAUAUAGUUAGAUUUGAUUAAAGUUAAACUGAUGUUUCAAUUUUACUCUUGAAAUCUAUAUCAGGAUAUCAUUCUGGGAUUAAUUUGCUUCAUUUUUAAAAUGUGAGGGACUAAUUUAUUUUAUUUUAAAAAUAAAGAAAAAAAGUUUUGUUUCCUAAAAUGUAAGGGAUGAAGCAUAUCUUUUCUUUUUUUUUUUUGGUGAGAAAUCUUUUUACCCAGGAGAGGGAUACUGCCCUAAUCUAUAAGGUUUACUGUCUGUAUGUCUUGUAAUAACACCAGCUCCAUCACCCCCACUUCCCUCCAAGGUUAAGGAUAUUCUCACUGUCCAAGAUAUUUUGUGUUGAAUACAUUAUUGUUAUAACAAACACAUGAUUUUCAUUUUAUAUUUAUUUUUCAAGUAUUGUUAUUGUUUAUAUAAUCGUAUCCUCAAAUUUUUGUUAUACCUUAGACUAUUGUUAGCAUUAGAAAUUGGGAAAAAUGCCAAAACAGUUGCUAUGCAUUUCUAUAAAAUUUCCCAUUUUAUAAAGCAAUUGUUACUUUUUGUAAAACCCACGAUUUUUGGCACCGGUUUUAUUAUUUUAUUUUUCCAAUUAAUUAAAAAGAUAAAAUUACUAGGUAAAAGCAAAAAAUAAAAAUAGAAUAACUGUAGAAUGGGAUAAAGGUUCCUAAUAAACUAAAACUCUUAUCCAAACCACCUACUAGGCGCAAAUAUUUUAAUAUAUGUGGGAAUAAUGGGACAUAAAAGAAAUGGAAAAGAAAAUUAUGAUUGCAGAUACAAACUAUCUUAGUACAAAACUAAAGAAAAGAAAAGGUUACAAAUUUUCAGAUGCAUCAUUUCCUGUUGGAAACUAAUUCCAAUUUAACAUUUGGCUAACAGUAAUAUAUAUUUUGUCACACCGAUUUUAUUUUGAUUUUAAAAUGUUCGUUCGUUUGAGAUUGCCAAAUUAAUGAAAAGAUAGCUCACUUUGUUCUUAGUUCUGCAAUAAUUUUUUUUUUUCACUUCUGCGAAUUUUUCUUCUGACUUAUAGUUUGACCUUUUAUUUUAAAAUAUUUCUGCCCUUUAUCAAGAGAUCAAAAAAAAAAAAAAAAAAAAGAGAGAGAGAGAGAGAAUCUUGCCAAGUCCAACAUGUUACACACAGGAGAUAGAGGGUGCAUUCUCUCGCCCAAUGGGAAUUGCCUGCAUAUAGAUUAGCAUUAGCAGCUUAAUUAAGUCCUUGAGAAUCUUAGCCAUUGGCGGCCACGUGUACUCGUUCACCAAUCAGUGGAAGAUAACGUUAUCAAAAUUGAGAUUGCGGGAAAUGGUUAACUGCACACGUGUCAACUCGUGAAUGGAAUCGUUAACCUUCUUUUGUGUCCAAACCAGGCGGUAGUAAUAGUGGGCCCCCACAGUAGGAAGUGCCAUUUCAGGUCUAACUGUCUAAGACUAGAGUUGCAAACGAGCCGAGUCGAGUCGAACUUUGAGUUAAUCGAGCCGAGUCUCGACUAAAUUUUAUCAAACUCGAGCUCGACGAGCUGGCAAUUUUCGAGCUCGAGCUCGACUCGAAUCAAGUCGAGUCGAGCUCGAAAAAAAUAAAAAAUAAUUAUUUUAUUUUUAAAAAAAUAAAUAAAAUAAUUUUUUUUCUGAAUAAAUAAUAAAAUAUUAAGGAUAUAUACGUAAUUUCACUAUAAAAAUAAAAAAUAAAAAAAUAUAUAUAUAUAAUAUACGUAAUUUUAUUAUUAAAUAAAAGUAAAAAUAAAAAAAAUAUAUAUAUACUCAAGCUCGCGAGCUAACGAGCUUAAUAUUCUGAGAUCGAGUUCGAGCUCGAGUUUGACUCGAGCCGGCUUGAGCUCGAUUAAUAUCGAGGUCGACUCGAGCUUGACUCGAGCCGCUCGCGAUUCGUUUGCAACCCUAUCCGCUCGCGAGCGGCUCGAUUCGUUUGCAGCCCUAUCUAAGACUCUAAGUGGGAGGAAAAGCUCAAUUUUCUCACGGGGAGUUUGGACACAAAUUAUUCCAAAAUCCAAAUACUGGAGCACUUAUUUUAACGUUAUAUACAACACGGAUCAUAACAGCCAUCAUAACGGGAUAGGUAUGGCACCAUUUGAAGCGUUGUAUGGGCGAAAGUAUGGAUCUCUCUUAUAUUGGGAUGAAGUAGAUAAGAAACUGAUCACUGGCUCGGAUUUGGUGGAAAGAACCUUGGAGAGAAUUAAGUUAUUCGAGAAACACUAAAAGUAGUUCAAGACCAAAACAAGAGUUGGACGGAUUUAAAGAGAAGGACCAUACCCUACGUGAAGGUGCAAUGGACGAAUCAUACACCACGAGAGGCAACGUGGGAGUUAGAGGAGGAUAUGCGGAAUAGAUACCCAUAUCUUUUUUAUCAAAGUACGUAAGUUUCGAGGACGGAACUUUUUGUAAGGGGGGUAGAAUGUAAAAUCCACGAUUUUUGGCACCGGUUUUAUUAUUUUAUUUUUCCAAUUAAUUAAAAAGAUAAAAUUACUAGGUAAAAGAAAAAAAUAAAAAUAGAAUAACUGUAGGAUGGGAUAAAGGUUCCUAAUAAACUAAAACUCUUAUCCAAACCACCUACUAGUGGGUAGUGCUAGGUUUAAGAUUUUAUUGAAACCCUAGAAAGAAAAAUAACACCAUCCUUACCGUUCUUUCGUCUGCCUCCCUAGAGCAAGAGCCGUCAGAGAGUAGAGAAGGAGAAACAGGCAACACCGUCAAUCGAUCAGACGACUAGGUACCUAAACCUGUAAGUCCCGAGUUCAAGCAAAAAACUUCUCUUUUAAGUUUUAGUAGUUGCAUUAAUUGUCUUAGAAAUUUUACGGAUAUGUAUGGUUGCUAUAUAUAUGUAGAUAUAUAUAUAUAUAUAUAUGUUUUUAGAAAGAUUCAUACGUGGAUUUGUAGAAAUAGGGUGUUCGAUUUUAAUCUUUGGUUAAAUAAGGUUGCCCAAAUCUGUUGGAGGAAAACAGAAAAAAAAAAAAAAAUGAGAAGAGCUGUGGCCGCCGCUGCUCUGUUUUGGCUCUGCAACGCCACACAGAAAGAAAAAAAAAUUGGGGGCCGCCAUCACUGGCGGCAAAGAAAAGAAUUGGCAAAGGUUGGUCUUCGGCCAACCCAAGACAGAAAAAAAAACGUGCCAGCAUGUGUUGCUGACAAUAGGCCAGCGACGGCAAAAAGCCUUGGGGUCACAAAUGACCCCAAUGAAAGAAUUGGCCAUCACUCAACCAAGUCAAGGAUGGUUGGCCAAGGGGUCCAACCCAAAGGAAAUUUUUUUAAAAAAAAAUGGGAGAAAGAUGGUUGGCCUUUUUGGCCAACCAAUGAAAACAAAGGACCAUGGUAAAAAAAGAAAUGGUUGGCCUUCUGGGCAACCAUGGCUCUAACCCGAAGAGGAAAAAGGGAUAAUUUAGAUGUUAACCAAAUACAAGAUAAAAUAAAUAAAUAUUUAAUAAAUAAAUUUUGAAUAUAACUAGUCCAUUUUUAUAGGUUAUCAUGGGUAUUAAAAUUCAGGACCCAAUUUAAAGUAAUUGUUAGAAUUGAAGUAUUGGUCAUGUAAAACUUAUAUUUAAUUAAUUACGUCUAAGAUAUUUAAAGAAAAAUCUAGGAUAUCUUAAUUUAGCCUUAUGAGGUUAAUGUAGACAGGUGAGAUAAAUUCUAAGUUGUUAAACGAAACGUUUAAAAUAAUAAUAAUAACAAUAAUAAUAAUAAUAAUAAUAGUAAAUAAUAAUGCUGACGAUAACACUAAUAUUAAUAAUAAUCAUAAUCAUAAUAAUAAUAGUAAAUAAUGAUUAAUAAAUAAUAAUAGUAAGGAUAAUAACAAUAUGGACAUAGAGAAAAUAAAUUAAGGAUAUAAACGAAGAUAAAAAUAUAAUACGAGUGGAAUAAACUAAGACAAUAAUAAUGAUAAUAAGUCAAUAUGUCUGUAGAUAUAUAUAUAUAUAUAUGUACAUGUAUACAUAAAUAAUAAUAACACCUACACACACAUAAAAGUGGAAAUAAAGGGAAAGGUAAUAGUAACUAUUUAAUAUAUAUAUAAGUGGUAAUAAAAUAAAUUAGCGACGACGAGGACGAUAAUAAUAAUAAUGAAUAAUUAUAAAUUAUAAAUAAACAUAGUGAGAUAGUAGUCAGGAUAAUAAACAUGAUUACGAAUAAUUAUUUUCUUUUAAAUUAGGAAACUUUACAAAAUGAACACUUUCCAAAGUAAGAAACUUUUUAAAAAUAGAAACUUUCCAAAUUAGGAAAUUUUCCAAAAAUAGGAAUCGUCCAAUUUAAGGAAAAUGCUAUUAGGGUUCGUAUAAUGGUAUAGACACGAAUCUUCAGCUUACUCAGAGUUUGUAUAUUUAUGCAUCUAUAAGAAGUAACAACUAAUUAGGGAACCUAUACAUUUGAUAGGUACGAUACAAGGACCUAUGGUAGUUCCACUCGAGCAGCCAAACAAAGGUAAGUGGUACUUACCCUUCUGAGAUUUCAAAGGUGCAAAAGUGAAAUUUUUGUUUUCAAUCCUAUUUUGUUGUGUUGACUCGAAAUGUAUUUGAUGAAAUGCUUUACUUGGAUAUUUAUGAAAGUUAUAUUUUUUCUAUACAAAAAUGGAUCAUGUGACUUAUUUGAAAUGUUUUGAUACAUUAGUAUAUACCAAACGAGUUGAAUCUUUUAUGAAAUCAAUGAUCUAUGUAUGCGACAUGUGGAAUGAAUUUUUGACAAGUAAAACUCAAAACAGUCAUGGAAUAGAUGAUAGCGGUUAUAGUUCUGUCUAAUCGCCAUGGUAGCCUGAUAUAAAGUCCGGUCGAUUGGCAAGGUUAUGGUAACUUGGUAUAAAAUCCGGUCGAUUGACCCAUCUAUCGAAUGAGACCAAUAGGUAGUCAUGAAACCUAUUGGUCGCUCACCUAGAAGGGGUUUAAUCUCUAGGCUGAGUACUCAGUAGCCGGUCAUUGCAUGUACUUGUUAUGAGUUGAUAUGGAACGAUUUAUGAACUGAUCUGAGAUGAGACUCAUGAACUGAUAUGAACUGAUUUAUGAAUUGUGACGAAAUGAUUUAAGACUUUAUGAUUUUCCAUGUUUAUUUAUCAAUAAGAUACUUUUAAAUUGCUUGCCACUCGUUACUACUGAUUGUUUUAUAAAUGACGUUACUUUCAAAAUUAUGGAGGUGAUAUGCGCCAAUGAUUUGAUUUGUACUUAUAUAUAUGUAUUUAUAAAGUUACGAGUACAUGGUCCAAUAGAGGGGUAGAUAUUAUCUACUGAGCGACUUGUCGCUCACCCACUUUUUACCAUUUUUGCAGAUUCUGAAGAGUAUGAAUUGGUUUACGUAGAAGAUCCUGAGGAUGACUUGUAUUAGUUUUAGAUGAAUAGAAGUUGGCAGGCUGGCUACUUCUAGUUGUUAGUCUUAUUUACUUUCGUUUCCGCUGUUUCAAUCAGAGAAUAAAUGUACGAACGUCUUGGAUAUUAGUAGACUACCUUUUAUAUGGGAUUUGUACCGCACUUUAGUUAGUUAUAUUAUUUAGUACUUUUAAAGUUAGACUAGUUAAUGUAGCCUUGAAUUCUUGAGCGGGACUUGGGAGUACGGCAGAUGUCAUGUGACGGGCGCGUGCGGGCUCAGAGCGUGACACUUUUGCUUUGUGAUCAGCUAUACAAGCACAGCUCUUUUUUCUUAGUUUUAUACUAAUUCUAUCUUUGCUAAAUAUAGUACAAAAUGUGAAUCAUUUUGAGACUUACAUUCAACCUUCGCAUAAGUGACAAAAGAAUAUUUAUUGCUUGGUUGAAACUAAAAGAACAUUUAUUCAGUUUUGGCAGAAGCGAAAUUCCAUUUGUUACAAAAGAACAUUUAUUCAGUUUUUCUAGAAGCGAAUUCCAUUUUUUUCCUUUUUCUCCUAGAUGAAAACUCCAUGUCAUUGUUCAUCUUAGGCAUCUCUUGUUUGAUGUGGCAGUAUCAUAGUGGUUUUUUUGACAUUAUGAAUGUGAGCUAAAAAAGUGUACAGAAAGAUAAAAAGAUGAUUGAAAUUCUCAAAAAACAGAAAAAGGAAGGGCAGAUUGCUUGUUUUAGGAGAGUGCCAUGUAAAAAAUUAUUUGGUACGCAAAAGGCUACAAUCAACUUUAUGCCAUGUUUCCAGGUCCAAACAACAAUAGCUUAUACAGUUUCUUUAGUCCAAAUUUUUUACCCUGCUCUUUUAAGAAUCGUAAAGCAGCCCAGAAUUCAAUCCUCUCUUAACCUGGAGUGCCAGCUUCUUUAAUACCAUAUAUCAAAUUCGUUUCUUUGUCUUUCUGUUAAACUUUCAGCUUUCUCCUAAUAGUUUGUGAAGAUAAGAAUCUUCAACAGAACAUGAACAAGUUAUCUUUAUAGUGGAAAAAAGAACAUGAGCAAAGAAUUCCUACCUCAACAUUUACCUCUGCUUUUCCUUUUGUGGGUCAGAGUGGAAGCCUGGCCUCAUCAACACUCCACAUUAUUGGUGAUGAAAUCUAUUGCGGUGUCACCAAUCACAAUGCCUUGAAAGAUUUCAUAGAAAUCCUUUGCAGUACAUUGACAUAAGGGUUGCAAGAUAAUUAAAUCUCAAUGUACCUGUUAACCAUGUUAAAUUGAAAAAUGUAAUAUCUGGUAGCUCAGAACAACCACGUAAUAGAGCUGCCUAGUUGAUUGCAAGAUAUGAGACAGAGCCUGUUUGUAUACUGUCGACUUAAGGCUUGACUCUCUCUCAUCACAAAUUAAAGGCACUGUAAAAGAAAAUAUUGAAGCUUGUGUGGAACCCAAUUCCUGCAUUCAUGACAAAAUAGCCCGAGACCUCUUUGCAGUAAUACCUGAGGGACAAGCAUAUGUAGAACUUUGGACUACAUUUAGGACAUUCAGAUGUAGGAAUGGGUAUGUAUAUCUCAUUCCUCUGUCGUGUAGUUCAUUUUCUAGCUGCGUUGAGAGACUUGUUUCAUGUGCUUAAUUGCUAGAGGUUAGGCGCUGUGUGAAUCAUGGAUUUGAUGGACAGGAUUAUGUGUUUUCCUCUACCAGACUUCUUCAGUGAGGGAAAUGCUCCAGAGCAGGAGACAUUGUCAGUGCUCACCGUCCCAGCUGAAAAAAUGGGACGAAUUGUUGGUAGAAAGGGAUCUUCAAUCUUGUAUAUCAAAGAAUCCUGCAAGUAACUCUCUCUCUCUCCAUAUAGUUCAUUCGCCAAAGUUAAAACCAUAGAGAUAUUAAAGGAGUCACUUCAACUUUCUUUAAUCUUCACCUAUAACAAUCAAAUCAAUUUGUAAGAGUCACCUAUAACAAUACUUCAAUAUUCCCAAUACCCCGCUGUACAGAGCUGGAUCUUCAGUCAACUUCGAUUUUCUAGUAUUGAUAGGAAGCAUAAAUUUUCUAGCGUCAAAUGCUGUUAAUAACAGUCAAUUUUGAUUUCUCUAUGCCAAUUUAUUAUCAAAUUAUCCAAGGUUGCGCAAAGCUAACUCUUAGCUCGGAUUUGGUCAAAUUCCAAAGUUUUCUUGGCAUUAAUACUUUGAAAUCCAUUCAAAUUCUUGUGCAUGUCCAUGACUAAAUCUUCAAUACUACUAUAUCGAAGAAAGUGCUAGGCCUAAACUAAAGUAUAAACUAAAAUAUACCUAAAUUCUCGUUUUGAUUCCUAAACAUUUUAGUACCUAAAGUAUAAAAUCUAUUCCACUUUAAGUACAACUUGUCCUAUUUUAGUCCCUAACCUUAAGCAUAAACUCUUCUUUACUUCUUCUAUAUUUUGAUCGUUAAAGUGUAAUAGAUUUUAUACUUAAUUGGGAUAGACUUUACACUUUAGAGACUAAAGUGAGAUGAAUUUUUCUUAAGUGAUUAAAGAAUUCCACUUUGAAAUUUUGGAACCAAAGCGUAAAUCAAGUUAUAAGGGGGCAAUCUCUUAGAGAACAAAAAACAUAUUGAAUGAUUUGCAUUUUGAUCACCUAUUGUUUAAAAUUAUUUAAACAAUACCCCAAUUAAUAAGUUGUUAUACUUUAACCACAGAACUUUAUAUAUAUUUUGGGUUUCGAGUUUUAAAUCCUAUUCAUUUAACACAUAAUUGUACACUAAAAAGUUGACAUACCUGUCUCUUGAAUUGAAUGUUUUGAAACCAAAUCCAACCCACGCAAUUCAACUAGAAAACCAGUUGCUCGAGCCCUUUUCUCGUAAAGAGCUAAAAAACCCUUUUACAUGAAAAACCUCUAUCUUCAUUGAACCCAAAAAAAUCAGGCUGUCGGCUUAUGCAUCCUUCGGCCCAUAAUGGGUUUGCAAUACUACUUCAAGGAUUUUUUUAUUUGGUCCACCACGAGCAAGUUGGGCCUUUUACCUGUUUACCUCGUUUUUUUCCCCUUAGCUUAGCAAGUGCAGUGGAGAAUUGUUUUUUUUUUUUUUAAAUGGUUUUGUUAUCCUCGCUUUUUUGAUUUAUCAUUGUGCAUGUUAUCCUAUUAUCUUAUUAUUAUUUUUUGUGAUUUUUUCAGUUGAACUGUCUAUUUGUUUUCAUUUUCAUACUUGUCCCUUCAAUUCUUCUAUGUUUUACACAUUAAGAAAAAUAAAUUUAUAAUAUUGUUAUUUUGGCACAUUUUGCAUUGUUAUUUUGUCCUAAUUUUGACUACUUACUGUGCUAAGUAUUGAGAUUUUGCAUUUCUAAAACGCAGCAGUAGCUGAUGCGUAAGCACCUGAGUUCUGGCAUUGCGCCACUCCCAACAUCUAUCUGUACCAGAUUAAGCAGGUCAGUGAGCUCAAGAAACUUCAAAUUCUUAAAUCCGUUUCCAGAAAUUACUAAUUCUUCUUCUACAUAAGCAUUAUCCAAUAUGAGAAUUGAAAGAUGUUCCAUCUUCUCCAGUAUUGGCAAGGGACUUUCUGCAAGUCUUGUACCACAAAACCACGAAUGAGAGAGUUUAGGGGGAAAACUAUUAGGCUAGGUAGCUCAUGUAACCGCACUGAUAACUUAAGCUUUGUAACAUUACUCAGAUUUGAAAGUUCAAUCAAAGAUGGAUUUUCCCGUCUUUCAUGGCAUAACAAACUCCACAGAUACAUUGAACUUUCAAUUGAAUCAAAAAGUUCAUUACUUCUUGACCUUCCAUCUAUCCAGAAAAUUUAGCAACAUUAAUUUGCUAUCAAUCUAUCAAGAUGCACAUUGCAUAGAGUUCAGAGACUCUUCAAUGUUUCAAACUUUAGUGGUACACCUCGACUAGUGUCAUGGACAUAAAACUUACUGCAAACUUUUUAAGCUUCCAUAACACAUUUGGUACCUCCACUACUGAAUGUCAAGAGUUUGCAAGCAACCUAAAGCAAUUGGAAGCCUUAUGAUUUCUGUCCGUCUUAAACCAAGAUACCUUAGAAGAUUAACUUCACCAAUUUCUUCAGGUAAAUACGGGAUAUUUAUAUCCUCCAAAUCAAGCACUAAUUAAUUUUAAACUUGCAAAACUUAAAUUAAUUUCCUGUUCAAAUUUAUUUUUGGCUCCCAUUUUCGUUGUUCGACACGUUUGAGCAACUACAUGGACAGCUAAUCUUUCCUAAUGUCAUCAUGGACAGCUAAUCCUUCGAAGUUUAUUGCAUCCACUCAUCAAAAGGUAGCUUCUUUUUGCUUGCUUCAUCUCCAUAUAAGCUUAAAUCUUGACCCAAUCCAUCAAGGCUUUCCUGUACUGUUGCUUGCCUUUGAUAUUGUUCUUCCUGUUGUGCAUCAUUUAGCUCAGGCUUGCUUUGAUUUUGAUUAAAGAUAUGAUAUUUAUGUAAUAAGGUCGGAUGUUGAUGUUAGGAUUAUGUGAUAUCAUUGUCUUGGUUUGAAAGUUCGAGGCUUGUUUGGAUUUUGGUUCCCUCUGUUUUGACAUGAAGACCCAGAAAAGUUGCAGAAGAAAGGAAGCAUGCGAAGCUUGCAUGAAAAAUCUUAAGCAAUUUACAUUUUUGCCCCCCGAAUUUCUAACUAAUUUCACUAUGGCCCAAAAUCUGAAUAUUUGAACCAAUUUUGCCCUUUUUAAUCCUCCUUUUAUAUUUUCAGUGAGUUGUUGGGUAGAUUAAUUCUGGAUUUUAUGAUAUAAUUAGGUUUUAAUAAUUUUUAGUUAUUUUAUUAUCUUGUUAGGUUUUAAUAAAAAAAUUUAGAUGAGAAUUGGAUCAGGUUUAAUUUAAUUGGGUUUUGAUGGUGGGUUUGUUUAUUUUUGAUUGGGUUUUGGUUAUUUGUUUUAUGGGUUUCUACCUUUUCAAAGAAUCAUUCUUGGGCGUCACAAUUAAUGCGAUUGACAUCAAUUAAACUUCGAAAAGAUAUUUCGACCCCCCCCCAAUAUCCUCCUAGGUUUAGGUUUUGCAUCCAUGUAGAAACAUACCAAUGUGAUAAGUCUAUAAGUUAGAUUAGGAAAACUUUUCGACUAAAUCUCGCAACUAGCCUUAGUUAGAUCGAAAGGGUAUCUUGGAUUUUAUUCUUACCUUCCCUUUCUUCAACCAUGACUCUCGAACCCUUUUUUUUGUUUCCAAAGACCUGGAGUCAUCUAAAAGGGUUUUAUCUAUUUUUUUAUUUAAAAUUCAAUUUUAAGUGACUUGGUACACCUAAAUUCGAUACCAAGUGACGACUCCUUUUUUUCCUAAAAAACCCUUUUUAGACUUUUAUUUUGGGCCAAAAUCGUCACAUUUUUUUAAGCCCCAUUUUAGGCCUUUUUUCUUUUGUUUAUUCUAUAAAAUAAAGAACUCAUUUAUCAAAUCAAAAAAUUCAUUUUUCUAAUACCUAAAUACAUUAGAUUUGUUUUAUUAUUUUUCAAAAAAAUGGGGCGUGACAAUCUUAAGAACUAAAUUAAUUGUUGGUUAAACAUAUUUUGACUCAGAAUUGAGUCCAAUUUUGUUGAUAAGACAUUUCAUUUGUAGCUGAUAGAUUUUAAAUUUGAGUAAUUAAAGGGAUAAUUUGGGGACAACUAUUGAUCCUCUUAGGACUGGGGGGGAUACGGGGCAGGAGCGGUCAUCAGGCCGACCGCUCCUGAACGGUUUCCUCACAAGGCCCAACAAAUGGAUCAUAAUAAGCCACGCCAGGAAGGCUUCAGUAGGGCUAGAACGACGCCGUGUUGAGGAGAAACGGGAAAAACAAAAAGAAAAAGAGUUGACGGACCGUUUCAUGAAGUGUUGGUCCGUUACCGCCCAAAUGAAUCCUCCAAAUGAAAAGCUAAGUCGCGCUCCCUCCAAAAUAAUUGCCCAUAUUCAUUAAUGCAAAAUUCUACAAAACAGAGUAAGAAAGAAAAGCAAAGGCAAAAUAACAUUGCAGAAUUGGAAAUUGCCAGGUAGUAAACAAGGGAUAGCAAGAAGUAGUAGAAAUAGAGUGGCUGCGAAGGAAAAUCACGGCGAGAAGAAGCAAUAAGUAGUGGCAGAAGGAUAGAGUUUGGGAUUGGUACUCAAAUAUCAAAAAGCUUGAGAAGGUGAACCGGAAUUGUGGAGUACAAGGUUGGGAGAUCCGGAGAAGAGAUAAAGCAGAAGAAACACAGGUAAGAAACAUCAAUGGUAUCAGAUAAAUUGUGGAUCGAUUUGACUUGUAGUUAUCUUUUGCUGUAUACAUUAUUGUGAACAAAUGGGCUGAUUAUACUUGCUGCAGUUUUGGUUGAAGUAAUUGUUUAAUACAGUGAAAAAUGGAUAAUACACUGGAACCUUCGGCUGCACAUAAUAGAUAUUAUAAUUACCAACACGGGGAAAGAAAGGUACUGAGAAUUUUGCAUAUCAAGUGCUUGCAAAAUUGCGUGCAUGGGUUGGGGAUUGUUAUGGUUAUUAUGCAUGAGGUUGGUGUAGGUUUUGUUACAUAACAGUGGUUGAGUGGAGAUUAAACAUGAUAUGGGCUUCUAAGAUGGUACAUACUGUUGAUAGAGACAUACAAAGUGAAGUGAAAUGGUUACAAGAUAUUUCAUUUAAGGGCGUCGUAGGAGAGAAGAUUAUAAUGUGCUAAGUAGGAGAGAAUAUUAUAAUUUGACAGUAGCAGGUAGAAAGUAUGCCAAAUUGCACAAUUUGGUAUACUCAAUGUGGAAACAAGUUUAUAAGUCUUGAUAAAUAUUGUGUUUGCACAUCAUAUUGGACAAAUUAUUUAUGCAAUGAGUUACUAGUGACACCUUUAGAAUGGUGUGUAAAAUUGCCCCAACAAAUGAGGAAAUUGCAAGAAUGUGAUUGUCACUCCACUGGAAUUGUAUACUAGCACAGUGCUUGGAUAGACAAGUUUAUUGCAUGGAACUAAAUAAGUAGGAGAGUAGGUUAUAAUUUGACAAUGUGUGGCAGAAGAAAUAACAAAUUGUGAAGUUUGACAUACUCAGUGUGGGAAAACGGUUAUGAAUCUUGUUAGUUAUUGUGGAUGCACAUCAUGUUGGAUAAUUGUUACACGCAGUGAUUCAGUAAUGACAGUAUUAAAAGUGUUGUGUAAAAUUGGCUGAACAUACAUUGAAAUUGUUCUACGGAUUUGUUACUUCAUUCGUAUUGUUGAAUACCGUGAUAAAUAAAGGAGAAAUUGAUUGCAUCGAUCUUGACAGGUAGGAGAAUAGAUUAUGAUAUGACUAAAUUAGACAUAAUUAACAAGAAACUUUGCACGGUGGCAAACAAAUUGUGAAAAGAAGAUUACUAAUACAGUAAUUAUUGUGGUUGGACAUCAUGUUUGAUAGUUGCCAAUGAAAAUUCAAUCUUCGCUGUGACCGUUUUAUUUAUUGCCAUAGAACUUACCGUUAUAGAACCUAUGCCAGUAGUACAAACGUUAAAUUAAGAACUGUCAUUAAAAUGUAGUUUUACUGUAUAUAGAUGUAUUGUUUUCCAUUCUUGAGAGCAAGUGGCUCAUUUAUGGAUUGGUAUGUCGUGAUGUAACUGCAGGCUGAGCUAAACGAGCUGUAUAACAUUGCUGUUAAUAACCAAUGAAGGAUAUUAAAGAUUGCAGAAAUGUUGUGUUCUCAUCUGAGAGCAAAAGCUUCCACUUCUGGGCCUGAAACAUUGGACAAAGGAAAAAAAUCUAUACAGGAGGACUAUACAAUGCACAUGAGUCCUGAUACCGAAGAAGAGCUAGAAUUUCAAUCUGCUGAAAAAGGGGGCAACGAUGAAGAUGAUGAUGCUGAUGAAAUUGAUGCGAAAGGGUCUGAAGAAGAUGAGCAUAAUGCAGCGCAAUAUGAAGAAAACGAUGCAAUUACGAGGACAAAUAUUGAAACCAGAGAACAUCCAGAGCUAAAUGAAGAUGUAAUGGACAUGGAGAAUCCAAUUUAUACCUCAUCAGUUGUGUCUGAUAACAUCAGUCAGAGAUUGCAAUAAGGGGCCACCAUGACAACAAUUGAGCAAGGAAGCAACAGUGUGUUUGAAGAGUGUUACAAAAUAGUUAUUGUAGUGUUACAGUGUUUAAAAAUUAAUGCAAAACUGUUAUUGUUACUGUUAGUUACAGUGUGUUUGAAGAGUGUUACAAAAUAAUUAUUGGUAAGUUACAGUGUAUUUGAAAACUGUUAAAAAAUAGUUAAUAGAAUGUUAAAGUGUGUUCCAAAAUUAAUACAGUGGUGUUUGAAGACUGUUAAUUACAGUGUGUUUGAAAACUGUUACAAAUUGGUUUACAAUUUGUUACACAACAAUAGAUAUGAAAUCAUAUGAAAUACAUGUUCUUCGCUUUUUAGGAGGCCUUGACAUUGAGAUAAAGCACAAGUCUACACGUGCAACAAAGAAGAGCACCGUUCUGCAGUCAGUCGAGUAUAUUCUACCAGCACAUGUGACAGUAAGCCUGUAUGAUAAAAAUGUAACUGCAUUCGAGAUUGUAACAUCGGAGCCUUGUAACAUAAUCACCUUGCUACUUCCAAAUAUUAUGUUUAUUGAGCUUAACAAGAUUGUAUGGUGCAUGCGCUGCAUGUGAGUAAACAGAUUCCAUUCCUGUGAUGUACUAGUUGGUCUCAUGUAUGUUGGGGUAUGAUAUUUUACCAUAUUAGAAGGUAUUGCGGACUAUAAAAGGAUCCCAUUGCAGGUGUAUAUCCCUUACACAGACAAGACUCCAGUUUGUUCGUCCCCCUUUCAUUUUCGCUCGUAUUAUUAUUCAAUUUCACACUUUCAAUUUCUCUUCAUAUUAAAGUGGCAAUGGAUCUGUGUACUCGAUUCAUUUUUUGUUAUCUUCAACCUCCCUACAACAGGGAUUACAGUCUCAUCAAUACAGUGUUCAGUUUUAAACCAAGUCUUGGGAGCCAAUUAAAUGCAUCCAGGUUUGCUUGAUGUUUGGGAAGAUCUCGCUAUUUUAAUGAGAUGUUCGAGAAGGUCUCGCUACAUGCAAUGUUGUAGGGUUCGAAACGAUCAUCUCUAUAUUCUCAUUAGACACUUAAUAAAGUGUCUAAAAAAUUUAAUGUAUCGAGGGGAGGAAUUAUUGUUGGUGCCAAGGGCAAUUGCACAAACAAGAGAAGAGGAAAGGUUCAUCGGACGUUAACUAACUAUAGUAUCACUAGUUGUAACGUCGGGAAAUAUCAUUAGUCACUAGUUUUAACUAGAGAAGACGAAAAGCUGCCGAUUGCCAAUUCAUUAGUUGUAAUGAAUUGUAACAUACACCUAACUCGUUGUAACUCAAUCUGUACAUCUUGUUAUGACAAUUUGUUACAUUUUAAAUAUUAGUUACCCCACUUUCAAAUUAGUUGUCCCAACGAAAUAUCAUGUUCUUUUGCGAAACUGUUACUUGGCAUGUGGUCGUGUGGAACCAAUCUGAGACGCCAAUUGUAAUUUCAUUUCCGUACUAAAGUAGUAAUAUCUAUUGAAGUGCCUGUAAUACUAUCUGUAAUACUCAUCAUUAACACAAUUAUAAGCCAUAUGUCUAAGUUUUAACAUAGACAAACAUGACAAGGUGCCUGUACAAGCACAUCAAUAAGUUGUAACAGUUUAUUAACUUCUUGUAACGUACAUAUGCGGCAUUCCCUGGUAGGGACGACAUGGCUGCAUUUAGUAAAUGUUCGUCCACGAACACCACAAAUCUGGUGCUAGACACCUUCAUGUUUGAAAAAUCUGGUGCUAGACACCGCAAAUCUGGUGCUAGACACCUAAUGUUUGAAGUAAUUUUAGAAUUACAAUCAACAAGCAUAAUUCAUUGAGAGAUUGUACAUUAAAACAAGCUUACAAUACGGAACUGAUCAAAAUUGAGCAAUAUCUUUUCUGGACAAGUACGAACAUCAGUAAAUGAAGUGAACUUGGGGAUGGAGAGCAACAAACUCAAUUGUUUGGAAUAACCAAUUGUUUUGUAUUCAUAAAAAUUGUAGGUACACAUCAUUCAUCAACCUGCAACUGAGGGGAGUUGAUGUCAAUAGUUAGUCGCAAUCCCAAGGUGUUAUUUCUUUCCUGAAAUACGUAACGAUGACAAAUCAGUCAAUACAGUUAAUGAUACAUACGGUUAAUGAUAUACGCUGUCGAAGUAUCCAAUUAACAAGACACCAUAUAUAUAUGGGGUUAUGAUAAAAGCUUGUCACCUGAGGUGAUGGUGAAAAUACAUGAUAUGCAUCCUUAUUACAGUGUGUUGAAAUUGUUGCACGCUCCGCCUACGUUGUACAAUAUAAUUAUUCAAUUGUCAACAACUCAUUAGCAAUGCCUAUAUUGCUCAGUUUCAAAGCUAAAUUGGACUAGACACUAUAAAAAAAUGAUAUUUCAAACAAUUAAAAUAUUUCUGACGGAGUUAUGCUUGAAAAAUAUAAAAAAUUUGGGGUGCAUCCAUUCUAUAGGGACACUUCUAUGAGGCCCCUGAUUAGCCAAUCGGUGGACUUUCAGAUAAUACAAAAUAAUAUAUCAUUAAAACAUUAUAUGUUAACUACAAAAUAUGCAUGUUUCGACAGCGUUCGGGUGCCCACCAUUACAAUUAAAGAAAAAGAAGCUCUACAAUACGAAAAAAGGAUCUUAUUUUAUUUACUAAAUAUAUGCAUACCGUUGGACUUUCCUCGAUUUCGGGAGCAAUACUGUUUGGAAGGCCAUUCACUGACUAACUCAUUGAAUGCAUCUACGAGUUUUGUAUGGGCCAAAUAAUUAUAUAAAACAGACAAAAAGUGUAUAUCAGGAGGGAUGUCAGCCGUAACAAAAUCAUCACACAAUGUAACAUCAUCAUAACUAAUUGUGCUGUAAGAAACAUCCAAAUAAAAGUUAAAGCCAUGCUUAUUUUAUACUAACCGAAACUGAGUCAGUUGAUGAACGCCAUCCCAUAAACAUGUGUUCAUCAAAUGAAACCGAUGUCGGCUCCGAUUCUGAGACCUGUAUUAUUGACACGACAAUAAUGUUAUUUUAUAGUGAAUGGUACUUAUGGAUUGUAGAUAGGGAAUUACGAUAACAUUGUUGUAGCAUAAAUGUUUACUAUCAUAGUUAUUGGAUCCUUACCGUAGUCUGUGUAGUUCUUGACAAUCUAGAUUUUCUUUUUAAUCUGUCAAAUUUAUCGACCUAACUUCGCAUCACUUUACUUCUCUUCCCACUGGUACGUUUUUUAAAUCCUCUUGCGAUUAUUGCCUCUCCUAUUUCAUUUACAAAUUGAAUAUUAUCAUGUUCCUCUACAUUCAGAUCAUCUUCGUCAGCGCUCGUAUCCUCUUUGGCAUCACAUUACCUUCAUACUUGCGCUUCACACCUUCCUUGGAGCAACUAUAUCUCCUAAACGUGGUCACGCCAUCUUUGUCUUUAUUCAGAUAGUCUUUGUGUAUACUAAAACUCAUUUUAAAGGCAUAUUUGUUGUAAAACUUGUACGCAUCCUCUUCACUGUUAAACUCCAUUCUUAAUUCAGGGAUCCUAUCUUCUGUCAAUUUGCUGCAAUUCAUUAUUUCUGCUCCUACCAAUUAUACAUCAAACACCAUAAUUUGUAACACUUCAUGAAUUGUAUGUACAUAAACGACAAGAUAAAUGUAUAUUACCAUUUAUAAUGUGUUAUGAAUAACACAUUACUUGCAUACCAAAUCCUAUUAUUACGCUUAUCAAUACGAUUAAUGAAUCACAUCACCUUACUUUUAUUCUAAGAUAACGGCAUUAUUUAUGUACUAAUAGAACUCCAUGUACAUUAAGUUAUAUGGACUGUAAUGUAUUGGUCACACGAUGUAAGUCUAUUUUAACUGUAUGUAUAUCCACUCUGCUAAUUAUAUUUAGGUUCUAGAUUCUUUAGCUUACUGGAUCUUAUAUUAUUCGUUAAUGACAAGCGCCUAAGCCAAUUGCGCAUUUUCUACUAUUUCUACAUUUUGAGAGUCAAACAAGCAUUUUCUACUCAUUGUAAUAUAUUUCUUACAUUAUGUAAUUAACUUACAACACCAGGUACACCCUUUUAUUAUUCACAUAUAUGUCUUUUCAUCUGCUUCACCUCAAUGAACUCUACGCCUUCAUUUUAUACACACUGCAUGGUCAGGAGAGGAACAAACUAAGAUUGCAUGAUGAGCAUAGACCAACUACAUAUUACUCAUUUAACACAUUGUAUUCAGUAACAUUACCUUGGUUUUCACCAUACGCUUUAUGUUUCACCGAACUCGGAGAGCGCAGUUGCUUCUGCUAUUAAGUUGCACGACAAAAUCUGGCUUCGUGGGAUGAUUAAUUUUCUCUGUUUGCUUCUACCUUGCCGCCUGCCUUGCACGCAUUCAAAAUGGAUACAACACUCUCAUACCCAGCUUCAAAAUGCAUACAACACUCUCACUGCACUGUUUGCUUUCUUCCUUAUGCACUCAACACCAUACCCCAAUUCUCUCCACCCACUUUUCUGUCAAUUGCUACCUUCAGCAGGACGCCUCCUCUCUUCCCUCAGUUUUGUUUUGUGCGGCUCUCCACUUUUUUGUUUGCUUUCUUCCUUAUUCACUCAACACCAUACCCCAGCUCUCUCCACCCACUUUUCUUUUAAUUGCUACCUUCAGUAGGAUACCUCAUCUCUUCUCUCAGUUUUGUUUUGUGCGGCUGAUUCAAAUUUUCAACUUGAUUUUCAAAAUUCAAACUCUUCCGUUUGGUCCGUCAUGUUCCCGUUUUGGCUAAACAUUUUUUUUUGGAACGCCGUCUUUUUUGGGGCCUGUUGAAGGCUUCCUGACGUGGAACAUUUCUCGCCUCACAUUUGGGUCUUGUGAGGAGACCGCUCCUGCCCCUAAUCCGACUUGGGGGAAUAAAAAACAUAUUUUGACUAAACAUACUAGAAUAGAGAGCACUUGACCAAAAAAAAAAAGAUAAACUAUCUAAAUGUCUACCGGCAUGAAAAAAAAUGCGUAUACAAGUCACACACCAAUGGGUGGAUUUUUUUUUUUGUUGGUCUUCUUAUGUAUUUUCAGAAUUUAGUACCAUUGGAAUAUAUCCAUAGGUAGAGGUGUCAAAAUGGGUGACUUGGACGGGUUUGGAUUGGAUAAAAUGGGUAAUAGGUAUAAGUGAGUCAACCCAUUUAUACCCAUCUAAUAGGUAUAAGUGAGUCAACCCAUUUAUACCCAUUUGAUUAGAUGGGUAUAAAUGGGCAAGUCAAAAAAUGAAUUGGGUAACUCAAUUAACCAUUUAUAAACCAUUUAUUUUAAUUUUUUGUAAACUCAUUUAAAUUUAUUUUUGCAAACUAAGUUAUCAAUUUAUACCGCUCUUUGUACCCAUUAUUAAUUUUAAACAUUUACUUAUAAUGUUCAAUAAGCUUAAUUAUCAAUUUUUUUCCAUUUAUACUCUAUGUCGCAAAAUUACAUAUUAUUUAAUAAUUGAAUAAUAAGAAUAAAAAAAAUUUGAACUAAGUACUAUAAAAGUUAAUAUAAAAACUUAAUCCAAAAAUUUUGAACCCCAAACAUUUUUUUCAUAUAUAAAUUUAAAAUUUCAUUUUAGAAAAAUAAGAAAAGAGGUUAAAACUUAUCAUAAAUUGGUAAUGCUAAAAAAUGAGCAAGUUAACAAACUAAGAGAAAAUAAAACAAAUAAAAUAAAAUCAACAAAUAAUAAUAAUAAUGAAACAAAAGUAGUUAAUAUCAUGACAAAAUGAAAAAUUUGAAAAAAAAAUAUGGGUGGGGGAAGAGAAUUCUAAAUGGGUUAAUUGGAUUUGAUGGGUUACUCAGUAAUACCCAUUUACUGGGUAACCCAUUUUUAUCCAUUUACAAAAAUUUAAGAUACCUAUACCCGUCUAUUCUUGGGCGGGUAUGGGUAAAUUUAGUUAAGUGGGUUGGUUUGCCACUUAUAUCCAUAGGUGUAUAUUUGAUUGUUUAGAAUUUUCUCUUCUUCAAUCUUAUAUAAGUUUUUCAACUAUGGUAGAAGGAUUUCGGUUAGAACAGGUUGCAAUGUAAUUCUCAAAAACUCACAUCAUCUAACAGUACUAGCUGGUUUAGCAAGAUUCCGUGGGAGACAAAUGCAAAUUAGAUUAAUAUACUCAUCUAAUUGGCAACAGAAAACCUAAUUCUGUCUUGUUUAUCAACUCUACAAACUGAUUCUUGACCAUUGACUGGAACUUUGGACCUGUACAAAAUCAUUAGGAAAGAAGAAGUCCAAAUCGAUGAACCAUCAAGAAUAUAAUAUGGUAACAAAAUGUUGAACUCUACAUAGGAACCCUCAAUAUAUAAUAUGGUAACAGAAUGUCUUAUAGUUAUGUGAGGAUGAAUCUGUUUUACUGAUUCCAUUUCCCAAAACAACAAUCAAGAAUAUUCUGCAAAAAAAGCACCAAUUGAUUGCAUGCUCAAAGAUUUCAUACAAAUAGAUAAUAAUCAAUCUAUGCAUAUACAAGAUACAACCCUUUUUUUUGGAUGAUAAAACAGAAAAAUAGCAGUCAGGUACGUUUGAAUAAUUAAUUAAUUCUAGUUCACUUUCAUUAAUAACACCCGAGAGUUUAAUCCAUCUGGGCAUCUACGACAUUUUCUUUAGGCUAUAUUAAAAAGGAGGCAGCAUUUGAAGUCCAAUUAGCAGUUAAUGUUUGAAUAAUUUAUACCAAUUGACUUUCGUCUAAUAGUUCCUAGGUUUAGUGUCUCACAGAUUACUACUUAAGCCCAAAUGAUUAGAGUUAAUUUUAUCAGUCUGAUAAGAGGAGGAAGACAUCAAUUUUUUUUUUUGGUCGAUACGAUAGAUUAUUCUACAUUAGGAGAGGGGGAGAACCUGAAUAGGUCCAAAGGUAACUCGAAGGGAACUGAAUCACUACUAGACCGUCUAAAUUUUUUAAGCAGAGUCAUUUUUUAAUGUGAACUCUUGCUUUCCACCCCACUAAACUUUAAUGUAUUGGUGAUGGUCACCAACCCAAAGACUGGUGGUUGGAGGAAGACACCAAUGGUUAUGCCAAAAUCCCCACCACUGCAACCACAAUCACGACCGUGACUGCCACCGCCACCCUCACUGGCACCAGGAUCAGGAACAUCAAAUAUUCUUGGUCCAAGUAAUCCGCUUGGACCAUUUGGAUUUAAGCUUGAACAUGCUUCGGCAGAUAAAGUUAGUCGCAGAUUUCAGGUGACACCUAAGUGUUGUCAGGUAAUUAGUUAUUAACUCUAAAUAAAUUAAUUCUAAUAAUCAUCGUUGCCAUUAAUCAUCGAGGUACAUGACUUAGUUUUCUUCAUUUUUUUUUCCAAAUAAAUUCAUCAAAAAAAUGAAAAAGGAAAUCAUUGUGAAAUUAAUGAUGGUUGAUCAUUGGAUUGAACAGCCAAUUGGGACACAUCAUGGUGGGGUGUCAGCACUCAUAGCUGAGGAUUUAGGCAGCAUGGGAGCCGACUUAGCCUCCGGGAGGCGAAAGGUAACGGGAAUAGAAGUCUGCAUUAGCCAUCUCAAGAGAGCACAAGUUGGUGACAUUGUGCAAGCUGAGGCCACUCCUCUCAAUCCUGGCACCACCAUUCAAGUACGUCGGUUUGUUUGGAUAGUAAAAAUUUUUUAAAAAAAAUUAACUUUUUUGGUUGUAUGAUAAACACAUUUUUUUAUUUUUAUAAUUACCAUUUUCAUUCAUAUGCAUCAAAAAAAUUUUUUAAAAAAAAUUCUGGUAAGGAAGAGGCGAGAUUUACGAAGUAGAGAGGGGACAGAGGUAUUAAAAUCCAUAACCUUUAUGUUAUAUACAUCAAAUUUCAAAAAGUACUACGGUACUAUUCUAGAAACUUUUUCUAGAUAAAAAAAAAAAACUUUGCUCUGAAAUGCACUUUUCUGCCUCAAACCAAUAUUAAUUAAUAUUUAAUUGUUGAAAAACUAGUAAAACGUUUAGCUCUUACGAUUUGACAAAUUAACUGAAUAUGGGAGCCAAUGUCUUAGAAUAUUCAGGUUUAAAGGACAUGAAAUUAGUUGUCAAUGUGAGAAAAGAAAAGAUAAGGAAACAUAAGCAAUGAGAAAGUUAAAUAAUAUAAAAUUUAAAGUAAUGAAAAUAAAAUUUGCACUUCGGUUUUGAGAUAAGCAAGAACAGCCUCAAAUUACAAUUUUCUUUGUUUUGCUUUUCGUCAGCUAAAUUUGGCACUGUUUAAAAUUUUACUUUUUUCUCCCCAUGUAUAUCAAAUUCUCUAUAACCUUCCCUUGCUUUCUUUCCAUUUCACAAUGGAGACAAAGUGGAUAUACGUGAAUCUUAGACAUCGACGAGUAGAGGCAAUCAAUUUAAAUCACAAGUAUGAUACAUGGAGGAGAUUGCCCGAGGGUGUACAAGAGUUUCCCAAUUAUAUAUAAGGUUUUUCUAACGAGUGUUCGUUGAACACUUGUUAACAUUAGUGUUGUUAGAUUCAGAUCGGACCAGCCGGUAUGAUCGGUCCGACCGUGAAUCGAUCUUUUUUUUUGAAGCUUUGGUAAAAAAUCAAUCAAACCAUAAAAGAUCAGCUAAACCAGUAACCCGAUUUGACUGGUUGAUCCGAUUCUCAAACUUUUCUUUUUUCUUUUCUCCAAAUAUAAUUUGAAUUAUCUAAAUUGUAACACUUUCAUUUAUUAAUAGGAAUAAGAAAACAUCAUCCAAUAUUAAAAUUACUCGCUUUCUUAAAUGAUCUCUAAAUCAAGAUGUUUUCAUCUCUAUGAUCUCAUUAAUUUAGCAUCGGUGAUUCCAACUUGCAUUAAUUUGUUUUAAUUUAGUUUCUUAAGUAGUUUUGGAAAACGGAUAUAUUUUAACUACGAAUUUACAUUUUUCUAUAUAAUUAUUAAGUGUAUAUUUGAUUGCAAGUAUAAUAUUUUUGGAACAUUUUUCAUGAUUGGCCAAAUAUAACCAAUAACUUAUUUGAAUAUUUCUGAAACUUAUAAAAAUAUAAAAUAAUUAUGAUAUCAUGUUGACAUCAGAGGGUUUUUUAGAACGAUCCUACCGAUCUGACCAGUUGACCCCCGAUCUAGUAAUUUCGACGGGUUGCUAUCCGAUCCGAGUUUAACAAUAUUGGUUAACACACCUAAUAUUUACCUAAUUUAUCAUGUAUAUACAUAUACAAACAAUUAUAAUUAUUUUUCCUUACAUUUGUAUACUUACCCUCCCUUGUGGAUACAGGGCAAUGAUGUCAUAUAACGUAACAUUUUAGUCUUUAAAAGAAAAAAAAUUAAGACAAACGAGGACUUUUUAAACCAAUUAUUCUUUUAAAUUUGAUUCCUUUUGCUGAAAAUCUUUUAGAAGUAUUACAAAUGAGCAAUCCAUUAUCACUGUUGUUGGUCCUUCGACUUUAUUUUGGAAGAGUGUUGUUGCUUAAUUUUUAUUAUUGAGCCAAUUUAGUCCCUCCAUUUUAGUUUGGCAUAAUGUCAACCAUCAACUUCUAUUAUUGACUCAAUUUGUUCUCCGACUUUUUAAACAUGAGUAAGGUCAUUAAUUCAUGUAGGCUAAUCCAAGUCUUUAAAUAGGCAAAAAAGCAAAAAAAAAAAAAAGAGAGCAUAAAAACAUGCAAAAAAUACAGAUCGAGGAAGAGGGAAAAUACUUACAAUAAAAAAAAUAGUCCUUCUCAACCUUUUUCUUUUCUUUUCUUUUUUUUUCCAAAUGGUACAUUUCAUACAUCAAUCCUAUACUAUCCCACAGUAGAAAAGGGCCCCAAUUAGUCUUGAGAAUUCGAAGGAGUCAGAUGUAUUGUAAGCAAUUUAGUUGGGCAAAAUUUUUUGCAAGCAUUUUUCCCUUCUUAAUCUGAAUGUAUGUGAAUUUUUAUCUAUCUUUUUAUAUGCAAUGAAUUAACAGACCAAAUUGACAAAAAAUAAGGGCUAUAAUUGUCCCAAUUUUAAGUGGACAGACGAAAUUGAUCGUAUAACCAUAUUCAAGGGAUGACAUUAUCCUUAAUUAAAGUAGUUUACUACAAAAACAAAAAAAAAAAACAAAAAAGGUUGAACGACCGUUUGGAUCGUUUGCCCUUACUCAUUUCAUGCUUUGAGCAAACUCACAUUCUAUGAAUCCUUAUAUGCGCAAAUAACUUAACAAGCUGUACAAGUUUUGGUAAGGUGAUGGUUCUCCAAUAACAUGGAAUUUGCUUCUUUUAUACUUCCAGGAAGGCAAUUAGCAUAAUUCCACUUUAUUUCACUAAGAAUAGCCAGAAAUACAUCCUAGUUGCAAUCACAUAUCUAUUCUCAUCAAUUAUACUUUGGGUCAAUCAAGCUUAUGGAAAGAUUGUAUGAAUUGGUUAAUUCCUUGGCAGGUAUGGGAAGUGCGGUUCUGGAAGAUUGACUCCACAAGUUCUGGGAACAAAUCUUUAUAAGCAUCAUCAAGUGUUACAGUUCUAUGCAAUAUGUCAGGAAAUGCCAAAGAUGGUCAGAACAAUGUAAAGCAGGCAAAGCUAUAAGGCUUUUUUUUUUUUUUUUUGGUUAUAGUUCCCUUUUAUCAACAACCCAUGCAGAAGAAUUUCAGUUUUAAUGCUUAUCCCUUUCUUGUCUUUUUUUUUUUUUAGCUUUGUUAUGAAGAAUUUUUUUCUUUUGCCUAUUUAAUAAUGUCUUUCUGUUUCAUUCUUCCUGUUUUGGAUUGUGAACAUAAUUUUCGAAUAGUAAUUGGUCAAUUAGACCAGUUUUCCACUUGUCGGAUUUACUGCAGGUAAAACAACAAAGGAACUACUUGAAAAUCCUUCCAAUAUAUGACACUCGAUAUUUAAACAAAUAUAACAUAGAAGAGAAAACAUAUAAUUUUAGCCCAUGUUCUUAGUUGCAUGGAUCAAAUUGGUAGCCAAAGUUGCCGUGAAAACAGAGUUAGCUCUUUCAACAAUUAAUAUAGACCAACUUAGUACUCCCUCCAUCCCACAAAAUUUAUCAUUUUUGGUAAGACGUGCAAUUUAUGUAUAGUGAUCUUAGUAGGAAAAAGAAUUUUUUACUUUCCUUUUAUAUCCUUUGUGGUGGACCAUCUUUUAUUUGAUAUAUUGAUAAUUGUGAAGAAUAAGUGGCGGGCCAUAUAAAAGGUAAAAAUAAAAAUUUCAUUGAAAAAAGUAUGUUGGUUUCUCUAAGAUGACAAUUAAUUUGGAACAAUAAAUAGUGACAAACAUGACAAAUUUUAUGAGAUAGAGGGAGUAGUAUAUAUUUUGGAAUUCAAUUUGGAUAGAAAAAGAAUACCACUUGCACCAUGGUUGUAAUGCCUACUUAGUACUAACCUCCUUGCGCUAUGGAUUAAAAGAUAAACUAAAGGUAAAUCAAAGGGUUUAUCUUUUUCCCUUUUUGCCCUUCCACUUCCCCCGCAUGUUUCCCACCCCCAAUUGGCAGGCACAGAAUUCAAAUCUUAAAUUUGACAGUAGGAAAACUCUAAUAACCCUUCCCUAACUACUGAUAAGGGGUAAAAUAAAUGAAUUUUUGUGAAAUCACAAUAUAGAAAGGGUAAAGCAAAAUAUUUCUAAUGAUCAAGAUUAAAAAUUUUUUCUCCCUGAAAUCAAUUCAACAACGCCGAAAAAUCACAUUUAUGUUUUCAGUACUAUUUUACUGGUUUUCAAGAUGCAUUACAACAUUAAUUUGGCACCCAUAAACUCAAAAUUAUGUUUUUCUAUUGAGCUUAAGUUUUAAUUCCAAAGCACAAGGGAAUAAAAUGUAGGUUAUAAAACCAUAAGUGAUUUAUAAUUACGACGCCUAAACCAGAAGGAAAUUAUUGGUGAUUUAUCCUGAACUACUGGAAGGCUUUUGUUUUUUUUGGAAGAAGGUAAUCCUAGCACUUUUUCCCAUUGACAUACAUUAUCUUUCUGAAUGUUCGUGGGAAUGAUACAACAAUUUGCCCCUAAUUUUCCAAGAAUUUUUUCUGGUUGAUAUGUCUAGUCAACAUUCAUUAGCACGCUUAAAUUAUACUCAACCUAUCAUGUGAAUAUAUAUAUAUAUAUACUAACAAUUAUUUUUUUAUCUUAUAUUUAUACAGUUUCGCCAUUUAAUUUAAUUUUAUUUUAUUUUUAAAAAUCAACUCCUUAAUACUAUCUUAACGAGUAUUACUCAGUGAAUACUCGUCAGACAGACCCAUUUUCAAUAACAUGUACUGCAAUCCAAAUAUUCUCACUCCCAAUGCCUGCAUAAAAUGCAAAAGUUUCUUGAGAUUCUCAUAGACAAGGAACUAGGAUCCAGGAAUAUAUAUUUCUCCAACUGAUCUUCGAAAUAAAGUAACUCUAGGAUAGUAGUUAGAUCUAUACAGGCUAUGACGCUUACGAAUUACGAUGAUCGAAUUCCUCUUCAAAAACUUUGACAAACCAACUGGGCCACCAAUAAACUAAUGAAUUUGGUAAAAUAAUCUCUUUUUUUUUAUUGCUUCAAUUUAAAUGCUGAAAUAUAUUCAUCACAUUUAUGCUUUGGUCAACACCAUUUGAUAUUUUAGAUUCACGCCCUCUGGUCGUCCAUAUUAGUAAAUAAAUUCAGCUGUUCCUUAAAUACAUUUUGGUUAAACGUAAAUUGCCUAGUUGUCUGCUGGCACAAAGCAUACAUCCACAAGCACAAACUAAGCCUCCACUAUUUUUCACGUUGUCUUCUUAUGUGUAUGUAUGUAUGUCUGUAUAUAUGCAUACAAACAUAUAUAUAUAUAGACACACAUACACACAUAUAUAUAUGUUUUUGUGUGUGUGCAUGCUUUGUGCCAUGGUACAAGGAUUUCGUUGAUACUACAUAUUAUAUUAAUACUCAUCUAAUUUAUCAACUCUACAAAAGUACAAACUGAUUCUUGACCAUUGACUAGAAUUUUGGAACUGUACAAAAUCACUAGGAAAAAAGAAGUCCAAAUCGGUGAACCAUCAUCUCUCACACAAAAAUGUUGAACACCACAUAGGAACCCUCAAUAUAUAAUAUGGACAGUUUAUAGCAGAAUUUCUUAUAGUUAUGUGAGGAUGAAUCUGUUUCACUGAUUCCGUUUCCAAAAGAAUAAACAAGAAAUAUUCUGCAACAAAAGCAGCAAUUGAUUGCAUGCCCAAAGAAUUCAUAUAAACAGAUACUAAUCAAUCUAUGCAUAUACACCACUUUUUUUUUGGAUUGUAAAACAGAAAAGGAUCUGUUUAAAACAUAGUUGAGGUACUAGAUUUUUGAAAAGAUAAGAUUAAUUAUGGAGAAUGUAUAAAUGUAAGAAAAUAUAAUAAUUAUUAAUAUCUGUAUAUAUAUGAUAGGUCCAAUGAAAUUUAAAUGUGUUAAUGUAAUGAUACUACUAGUUAUGAUCUGAAUAGGCUAAGAAGGUAGAAGGGUGAAACAGAGAGAAUGCAGGGGAGGAGGAGAAAUGCGAGAGAGAAGAGAGGGAAGGAUAGUGCAAUCAGGAAGGAAGCUUGAUUUGUUAUAUCUGAUAACAUACCCUUGUCGUCCCCUUUAGGCUAUAUUUAUACAAUAUGCUCCCUCUAGAUCCUUCUGCAACUAGCCAACCUCUUAACAGAAUGAGCAUGCAUACCUGCAUGCCUUUGACAGCUAGCUGACUAACUAACUAACGGAAAUGCUAACUAACUACCUGAAAAGGAAAGCAUGUCAGAUGCAUUUCUGCUCAGAAAUAUCUAACGAGAAUAUCUAGGGUCAUUACAAUACCCUCCCCUUGAGAAUCCUAGUCACUAGGAUUGGAGCUGGAAAUCUGGAAACUGUGAUUGUAUCACCGUGACAUCCUCCCAAGUUGAGUCUUCAGUGCUUAGGUUCACCCAUUUGAUCAACACUUGAGUCACCUUCUGUCUUUUCCUUAUGAUUUCACGAGUAGCAAUCACCUCUUCAGGGGCAAUUUUAAUCUGUCCCUCCGUAGUCGUCAAGGGUAACUCCUGAGUCACAACCUGAUUCUUUGCAGAUGGUUUCAGCAGGGAGACAUGGAAGGUAGGAUGUAUCAAAGAACCAGCAGGUAAUUCCAGUCGGUAGGCCGCAUUCCCCACCUUCUGAAGGACCUUGUAAGGGCCAUAAUAUUUGGAAGAUAACUUCAGAUUUCUUCGGACUGCUACUGAAGUUUGUCUGUAAGGCUGCAAUUUCAAAUAGACCCAGUCUCCUACCUGAAAACUCCUUUCAAUUCUGUUUUUGUCAGCAAACUGCUUCAUUCGAUUCUGAGCCUUGAUUAGAUUACCCCGCAGCAGUUCGUUCCAUUUCCUUCUAUCUCCUAGCCAUUGUUCCACAGCAGCUACUGGAGUCUCUAAACCAUUGAGUCCUAAUUGCGAGGGUGGAUAACCAUACAGAGCCUGAAAAGGAGUCAUCUUUAAGGCUGUGUGAUGGUUGGUGUUGUACCACCAUUCAGCAGCUGCUAGUAAGGACUUCCAUUUGUGAGGCUGUUGGAAACAUAGACACCUCAAGUAUGUCUCAAUACAUCUGUUCAGCCUUUCUGUCUGCCCGUCUGUCUGGGGGUGGUAGGCAGUGGAGUAAUGCAGCUCAGUACUUAGCUUCCCAAACAACUCCUGCCAGAACAUGCUAGUGAACAACCUGUCUCUGUCUGAAACAAUGCUUAGAGGUAAUCCGUGCAAUUUGUAGAUGUUAUCAAAAUAUAUGUUAGCUAUUGACUGUGCUGUAUACUUAGAGGAUAGUGCUAUGAGAUGACAAUACUUGGUGAACCUGUCGAUGACCACCAGUAUCCCUUCAUAUCCAUGAGAUUUGGGUAAUCCUUCUAUGAAGUCCAUUGAAAUAUGUUGCCAUGCUUGCUCAGGGAUAGGAAGGGGUUGCAGUAGGCCUGGUGCCUUACAGUUUUCUACUUUGCUCCUUUUACAGAUAUCACAUUGCUGCACCCAUUCUUCUACCUUCCUUCUCAUCCCAGGCCAGAAGAAUGGUCCCUUCAACCUCUGAUAGGUUCCCAGAUAUCCUGAAUGACCCCCAAAGUGCGAGUCAUGGAAACAGGCUAUCAACUUCUGUCGCAAGUUCCCUGAUGCUCCAAUGUACACCCUGCCCUUAUACCUGAGCAAUCCCCCAACAAAAGAGUAAUUUGGGAGAGAAUCUGGUGUAAUAGUCAGGGUUUCCAUUAAUUUAGUCACUGCAUUAUCCCCUUGGUAGCUUUCCACGACUUCAGACAGCCACGCAGGUUUCAUGACUGAGAGACUGUGUGUAGAACUGUCCUCUUCAUAGUCUCUUCUGGACAGUGCGUCGGCCACAAGAUUUUCUUUCCCUUUUUUGUACUGUAUUUCAUAAUCCAAUCCUAACAAUUUAGUAAGCCACUUCUGCUGAAGGGGGGUAGUUAUCUUCUGCUCCAAUAGAUAUUUUAAGCUCUGGUGAUCUGUCUUGAUAAUGAAAUGAUUCCCCAACAAAUAAUGCCUCCACUUUGAUACAGCUGUGAUAAGGGAUAACAACUCCUUCUCAUAUAUGGACAACCCUAAGUUCUUAGGCCCCAAGGCUUGACUGAGAUAAGCAAUAGGCCUUCCUUGCUGCAUGAGUACAGCUCCUAUAGCCUUAUGACUCGCAUCUGUUUCUAGAACAAAGGGUAAGGAAAAAUUAGGAAGUGCGAGGACAGGUGUGCUACUCAUCAGUUGUUUGAGUUUUUGGAAGGCUAGCUCAGUAUGUUCACUCCAGUGGAAAUUUUCUUUCUUCAGCAACUCCGUAAGUGGCUUGGCAAUGAUUCCAUAACCUCUCACGAACCUCCUGUAAUAGCCUGUGAGUCCCAAAAAUCCUCUCAAAGCCUUCACUGAUGUAGGUGCAGGCCAGUCCAUCAUGCUUUUGACUUUUGAGGGGUCUGCCUGUACUCCAUCACCACUGAUAAUGUGUCCCAAAUACUCCACUUGAGACUGUCCAAAGAUGCAUUUGGAAAGCUUGGCAAAUAGGGAGCAGGAUCUGAGUGUUUCUAGGACAGUUUUGAGGUGUGAAAGGUGAGUGUUUGGGUCCGGACUAUACACAAGGAUGUCAUCAAAAAAUACUAGCACAAAUUUUCUCAAGUAAGGUUCGAAUACAUGGUUCAUCAGGCUUUGAAAGGUUGCUGGGGCGUUAGUAAGGCCAAAUGGCAUGACUGUGAAUUCAUAAAGUCCAAGGUGAGUUUUGAAGGCUGUUUUUGGAAUGUCAUCCAGGUACAUUCUGAUUUGAUGGUAACCAGCUCUUAGGUCGAUCUUAGUGAAGAGUUUAGCACCAUAUAGCUCAUCGAGUAAAUCAUCAAUGAUUGGUAUUGGAAAUUUAUCUUUGAUAGUCAGGUCAUUUAGUUGUCUGUAAUCAACACAGAAUCGCCUAGUUCCAUCUUUCUUUUUAACUAACAGAACUGGAGAUGCAAAUGGACUAUGGCUGAGCUGAAUAAUGCCACUACUAAGCAUGUCUUUUACCUGUUUCUCUAUUUCAUUUUUCUGGUUGUGGGGAUACCUAUAAGGUGCUAACUUGAAUGGUUUGGCAUUUGGUACUAAAGGAAUUUGGUGGUCACAGUCUCUGGAAGGGGGAAGGGAUUUUGGCUCCCCAAAUACAUCCUUGUAGUCUGCAAUUAGAGCAUUUAGGGACUGUUGAAAAGUAAUAUCCAACUGAGUUACAGAGUGUACCUGAGUUCCAUUCAUCCUCAGCCCGCAGGCAUGCUUCCAAAUUCUGGUGCUUAGUCCUUCCUUCUCAGCAUUGUCUCUAGGUAACUUAAGGACGGCCUCCUUAGACCCUCCUUGUAGCAAGAUCCUUUCCCCUUCCUUAUCAAAUGUCAUGUUCAACUCCCUGAAGUCAAAGGUGAUGGGGCUGUGUGCAGCCAUCCAAUCCACACCUAUGAUCAUAUCAUAAGGUUCUAAGUUAAUGAUAAACAUGUCAUGAGUGAAUGGUUUACCUUGCAUUUCCCAGUUCAUGUUUGGAAUCAUCCUACUACAGGUCAAAUACUCCCCAUUAGCCACCUUGACCUUGAAAGGCUUGAUAGACUUAACCAUCUCUGGAAAGAGUUGAGCCACGGUAUUUUUGACAAAGCUGUGAGUACUUCCCCCAUCCACCAAGAUUGACAGGGGGGUUCCUUUGAACAGCCCCUGCAGUUUGAUGGUAUUGUAAGUCAUCUUCCCCGUCAGUGCAUGUAUUGCCAUUUCCACUCCUUUGGCCGACUGUGCCCCUUGGUACUCAAUUACCUCCCCUUCCUCCAGAUCCUCAGGUCUAUCUUCUAUUGCGACAAGCAGAUGAAUCUCCUUCUGCCUGCACUGGUGACCUGGACCAAACUUUUCUCCACACUUGUAGCAAAGAUGAUGUUCCCUUCUGUACUGCAGUUCUUCUGGUGUGAUUUUCUUGAAGUGUUGAGGUGUUUUUUUGACAGCAUUGGCAAUGAUAGGUUUGGUAGGUGCCACAGUUUGCUGAGCAGCAGCCUGCGUGGAGUUUCCCCAAGCCAUGGCCCUCUGCUGAGGUUUGUGCUUCCGGUGGUAGGCUUCAAAGGCAUUCUCCUGUAGUCUGGCCAACUCAAAGGCUUUGGACAAUGUCCUAGGGUCGUGAGCUUUCACCAUUGAUCUCAAUUCAUCUGGCAGUCCACUCAAAAAACAGGAAAUAUAGUAGUUUUCUGGAAGGUGUGGGGCUCGAAUCAUUACCUCUGAUAAUAGCUCCUCAAAUUUUUCUUGAUAUGCUAGGACUGUGGAAGAGAGUUGCAACUUGUUGAAUUCCUCCACCGGAUCCAUCUGUCCUAAGGUUCCAAACCUCUUACACAGCUCUCCAGAAAACUCCAUCCAAUCCACCUUGUUACCCCUAGUAGAUCUGAAUCCUUGAUACCACACUGCUGCUUUCUCCUCCAAGUGGAACUCUGCCAACUCCAUCCAUUGCUCCUUGGGAAUGUGCAGAAGCUGGCAAUAUUUCUGCAGUUUCCUGAUCCAUUCCCUAGGAUUGUCUCCCCUAAAUGCUGGAAUUUCCAAUUUAGGCGUGCUAGCGAAGAAGGCACUCCUAGCAUUCCUUUCUCCUUGUUCUCUACUCCCCAGGUCUGAACUUCUGGAGUGACUUCCUUCUGGAGAUCCUAAUAUGCCUUUCUCUUGAUUUCCACGGUUCAGGCUGGAGAGCUGCUGCGAGAUGGCUGUCAUGAAAGCAUCUAGCUUAUUGCCCAGCUCAACACUCACUGCAUCCAACCUAUCCUCCAUGCUUUGCUUGUCUGCUGCCAAGGAUUCCAGAAUUCCUUGAAUCUUGCUUUCUUGCCUGCGGAGCUGUUCCUCCAUCGUCUUCAUCCUUGUUCCAUCCGCCAUUGUGAUAUGUCAAUCUAAGCUUCCUAGUCCAAGGACCGGAAGCUCUGAUACCACUUGUAAUGAUACUACUAGUUAUGAUCUGAAUAGGCUAAGAAGGUAGAAGGGUGAAACAGAGAGAAUGCAGGGGAGGAGGAGAAAUGCGAGAGAGAAGAGAGGGAAGGAUAGUGCAAUCAGGAAGGAAGCUUGAUUUGUUAUAUCUGAUAACAUACCCUUGUCGUCCCCUUUAGGCUAUAUUUAUACAAUAUGCUCCCUCUAGAUCCUUCUGCAACUAGCCAACCUCUUAACAGAAUGAGCAUGCAUACCUGCAUGCCUUUGACAGCUAGCUGACUAACUAACUAACGGAAAUGCUAACUAACUACCUGAAAAGGAAAGCAUGUCAGAUGCAUUUCUGCUCAGAAAUAUCUAACGAGAAUAUCUAGGGUCAUUACAGUUAACGAGUACUCGUUAGAAAAAUUGAAUAGACAAAUAGCAAUCAAGGUACGUUUGAAUAAUUAAUUCUAGUUCACUUUCAUUAAUAACACCCGAGUUCAAUCCACUUGGGCAUCUACGACAUUUUAAAAAAAUAAUUAAUUUUUUUUAUUUAUAUUAUAAACACAUUUUCUCAUCAUUUUUUAUUUUUUUAUAAUUAUUUUUUUAUUUCACAUGCAUUACAGCAAAUUUUAUUAGUCAACUUUAUUCCCUUCAAACAUAAAUAUAUGCAAUUUUCCUGAGCCCGUCACACUCCCCUUCAUAAAUACUCCGAUACGUGUCUUUCUUUAAAACUAAGACCGUCACACUCCAUGGUUGUGGGGUUUAUCAAAUACUCCGAUACGUGUCUUUCUUUACCUGUUUGCCUAUUGGGGGAUGAUGAUCUUGUUCUGCAUGUGCAUCAGAGUUUGCACAAACUUGUUGUGCACAGUCUGACAGGAGAAACUAAGAGGGACAUGUUGGUGACUGGCAUUGGAAAUGCGUUUAGGGAU